rnacentral:lncRNA from 1 species
CCUUAUAUACAUGAUAAAGAUUCACCGACGCCGAACCAUAUUAAUUUAAAUUAGUUUUCAACUGAGAUUUGAAUUUUGAAAUUACAUACAAAAACACGCCCUUUUUUUUUUAAAUACUAAUAAUAAAAUAUUUCAUUUUUCAUCUAUUACAACAAACACACCCGAUUUAAAAAUAAUAAUAAUAAUGCUAACAAUAAAAUAUUUCAUUCGUCCCCUGUUGAGUCGUAGUAAAAAAGUCUUUUCCAAUCAAAAUUCCUUUCCCAAUCUAUUUUAACGCAAGGUAUAUGGGUUAACAAAUCCCAAUAUUGUCCUCCAUCCUUUCUGCACUUCUCUUCUAUCAACGGACAUCCCGAGAUCCAUAAUUGCAAAAGUGAGGAAGGCAGGCCCUUCUCCGGAAAGUAUUUGAGCUUGGGACAACCCGAGAGUGUCAAUGAAGUGAGGUUUUGAAGAUCAACAAUUGAAGAAGAUAGGCGUUCCAGAUUUGGAAAUUUAUAAAUGCUCAGAGAUGUUAGAGAGGCAGGAAGAGGAAGCGCGGUCCCUAAUCUUUUGUCCUCUAGUGGAAAUGACACCGUGUCGUCAUCGCAUCCUCCGAUUCUAAGUUCUCGCAGAGAGGAGAAUCUGUGAAAUCCCCAGCCCCGCUCAAUCAUUGACUUCCAAAUCUCCAUAUUACCCCGAAUAUCAAGUGACUGAAGGUUGGUGGGAAGGCCAUCUUCUUCUUCAAGGCUUGGAAGCGCACCUCCUAUUCCUAUUGUUAAGUGUUGAAGAGAAGUCAGAUUGUGCAAUCCCUUGGGUAAGGCCUCUAGUCUCUCACAAUUAAAUAUCUUCAGCCUCGUGAGUUUCGUACAAGGCAAUCCCCCUUGGGGAAAGGACACCAGAUUUUCACAAUUAUAAAUACUGAUUGUUUCAAGAGAUGUGUUGUUGUCCAACAUUUCUGCUAUUGACUCCAGCUUUGAACAUCCAUAAACAAAAAGGGACUUAAGAGACGGAGGUAGAUUGCCAACUUCAAGGGAUUCAAGCGUGGCAAGUAACUCGUUUUUUGAAAAUAUACAUGUCAGUGAUGGACAAUCCCAAAUAGUUAAGUCCUCAAGAAGAUAUGACGUGUACCUUCUGCUGCUGCUGCUCUGGAUGCCCUCUUCCACUGUCAAAGUCCUUAUAUUAUCGCAACGCCAGAUCGUCAACUGCUUAAGGCUCGGUGGUAGCUGGACUUCAGCAAUAUAUGUCAACGAACCGCAAUACUGAAUAUGCAAGAUUUCGAGAGACGAAUUGGUGUCGCACAUCCAUGCCUCUGGUAACGAUUUCAGUGCAUCACAAGAACUAAUCCGAAUUUUCUUCAACUUGGAAGGCAGAGCAACCUCAGGAAAGGAAACAAGGGAACUGCACUUGCAGAUUUCUAUCUCUCUCAAGGAACAGAGGCUGAGCGAUGAUUGUGGUAGCUUCACAAGGCCUUCGCAAUUACUCAAUCUUAGAUAUUCAAGUCUGCAUGACAACUCGCAGAGCUGCUGUUGUUGGUCUUUCUCUUCCUCCUCCACCAAGGAUUGAAGUUUGGGACAGCUGUCAAUCGUCAGUCGUUUGAGAGAGCAAAUGUCUUGCAGCAAUUCGUUAUGACUCUUCCAUAUAUCUGUUUCAUUUUUAAUAUUAUUUAUCUCCAAUUCUUCCAGUUUUGGUAUUCGCGGCUUCAAUGGCCCUGCGAGAAACACUUGAUUUGAUGUAUCUCUACAAACCACUGAAUUCUGUAAGCCGAGAUGAUCAGUUGCACUUCUCCCCACAACCUUUUUACAUCCACUUACCAAUUUGCAAAGAGCUGGAAGACUCGUAAUUGAAAUUGACAAUUCUUCGCAUUCUCGAAUAACAAGCAUCUGCAAUGCAGGAAGGUGCUUUGGAAAUGCUCCUUGCAGUUUAGAACAUCUUAAAAUGUGAAGCUCUCUCAAUUUAGGAAACUCUUCAACUCCCUGACUGGAUCCAUGAGGAAUCCAGUCUUCCCAUUCUUGCAUGUUUUCAAAACAAAGAGUCUCCAAGCAUGGAAAUGGAAUUGGAGAGUCAUCCCCAUAGAACUCUGAACCCAAUCUCUUUACUCUACUCAUUCCACGCACUGUAAGAUGCUUUAGAGAGGGCAGUUGCCCGACUGACGGCAGGGCAGUACACAUGCCGCAAUCUUCAAAUUUAAGUGUUACUAAAUUUGAGAAUGAUGAAUCUCCUAACCAUGUUGGAAAUUUUGUACCUUCAUAGCCACAGACACCAAAUUGUUCCAGAUUUUUAUGGGGUUUGAGCAUGUCAAGCACACCCAUUUCAGUUUCUGCCUCCCUUGAAGAUGAACCAUCGGUACUGCAUGUCCAUCGAAGCAAUAAUUCUCUAAGAUUCUCCUUUCCAUCCAACCGAGCCUCCUUUGCAUCACCAAUGUCUUUUACAUUCUCUAAUUUUGAAAUUUCAAGUGCCCCACGAAGAUGCAUCAACAACUUUAGCUCUGAUAACCCCGAACCACUGUCUUUUCCCACAACAAAAUUACUCAACGUCUGAAGACAAGUCAACUUGCCAAUUCCUACUGGCAUUUCCUCCAACGAAUCUGUAUUUGAAUUAUUGAGAUGAUGCAAUUUGAUGAGGUUUCCCAUGUCUGCACACAACUUCUUCAGUAGCUGACAAUAUUCCAACAAAAGCGUGUGUAAAUUGUAAAGAUUGCUCACUGAUUCAGGCAGAGUUCUAAUCUCAGUUCCAGACAGGUUAAGGUACCUUAAAUACCUCAAAUCACCAAUUGAAUCCGGUAGCUCGGAGAUGUAAUAUCCAUGCAAAGAGAAGACCCUUAAGCUUUGGAGUUUGAACAACUUUGGAAGAAUGCUAUAAGCCAAGAAUCCACGCGAACUAUUUGACAACAUUAGUGGUAAAAAAGUUCGCAAAUGUUGGAUAUCAUACAAUUUCUCAAACCUUUUAACGCCGUCACAUUCUCCACAAAUAUAUGAUAGAUGACGAAGAUUUCUUGAAAAACUUUGCUGCUUGUUAACCUCUGAGAUAUACUCCAUUCUGAAGUACAUUUCCCCAGCAGCCCAUUGAGCAAGGUCGUUGACGAGGUCAUGCAUCACAAAUCGUGAUCUACUGCUGCUUGAUUGCUGGAAAAAAGAUCUUGCACGUAGCUCUUGAAAGAACUUUCGACCUAAAUCUUCACUAGGAUUCCCGCUCUCUCCGUGAUCCAAGAAACCCGAAGCACACCAUAAUAAAAUUAUCUCCUCCUCUUCAAAUUCGUAAUCCUUUGGUAACAAUGAGCAGUAUGCAAAGCAUUGUUUCAAAGUUGGAGGAAGGUAAUAAUAGCUCACUGCAAGGGCUGGUAUAAUGCGACAUCUCUCUUGUGGUAAUUCCCAUAUCUUGCUACUGAGCACAUCUUCCCACUCACGUCUGUCAUGUUUUCCACGUAAAAGUCCUCCUAGUGUUUUUGCUGCCAAGGGCAAGCCAUUGCAUUUGAUCACUAUCUUCUUGCCAAUGUCCUCCAAUGACUUAUGAGAACUGAAAUCUCUCGUUCCCAAAGAGUGCUGAGCAAACACAGACAGACAAUCUUCAGUUGACAAGUUUUUCAAUUCAUAAGCUUGAUCCGGGCUCAUGAUUUUUGCAACCUCUUGAUUGCGAGUAGUGACAACAAUCUUACUUCCCUGUGCGCCAGCUUCAAACGGAAGGCUGAGGUCGACCCAAUCAUUGUAAUCCUCAUUCCACACGUCGUCCAAAACUAGCAAAAACUUCUUUCCAAACAUGUGUUUUUUCAAUUUCUCUUGAAGCAAAUUUAAGUCCUGAUUAUCCACAUUCUGGUCAGCAGCAAUGGAAAUUAGGAUUGAUUUUGUAAGCCUGAAAACAUCAAAAUCAUCAGAGACGCAAGUCCAUGCCUUGAGAUCAAAAUGAUCCUCCACCUGCUUAUCAUUAUAGACAAGCUGAGCAAGAGUGGUUUUACCCAGCCCGCCCAUACCUAUAAUAGGAAUAACAGAGAAUCCACCAUCGUUUCUUGAAUCAUCCUUCAACAACAAUUCAACAAUUUCCUUCUUUUCUGUUUCCCUGCCACAGACCUUGGCUUCAUUCACCAAAGAGGUUGUGGGUAGUCUUUGCCUGUCUUUUUUGGACCUCCCAGCUGAACUUACGUUCAAACCCAGCGAGUCUUUCUGUGUUACAAUAUCUUGAAAUCGGUCGUUGAUCUCUUUGAUUUUGGAGAUCAUGGCGUAAUCGAACUGAAUCGAUUGUGGAGUAAAAGUGGUGCAGCAAGUAGGAAUGAGCUUCCGAAACUUACUUGUUCUUGUACGACUGCUACUGGGUUGAUCCUGAGCAGCAGCUGGAUCUCCAUUUCCAAGCAGCAACUUCCUCCGGAAAGCCUCAGUUUGAAACUCAUCCAACAAGUCUUCAACAUCAUAAGCCAAGUUCUGAAGCUUGCCAAGCCACUUCUUCACAAACCGAUUAGUCGUCUUCUUCUCCUCAGCAUCAUCAAGCACCGCCUUGAUCAUCUCCAACAUAUUGUCCCACUUCAUUAGAUCGUCUUGGAUCUUCUCUUGGCGUGCAAAAAACAGAAUCCCCUCUGAAGCUAACUUAUUGACCAGCAAAUCAACGGACGCUGUAAGGAUUGCCUCUCCGAUGAUUGACAUUUUUUUUUCUUUCUUCUCUCUUUUUUUUUUUUUUUUGGGGGCAAAGAAAGAAGCAGAAUUUUGAGUUUUGAAAAGCAAAAUGAGAAAAUUGAACAGAAAGUGUGAAGGGUCAAGCAAAAUGAAUGUACCAAGUCUUCCGCUUGUUGUUUAUUCCAGGAAAGGGCAAAUAAAAACAGAGCCCACCACCCAUUAAUAAUUUAGCAAUUUACCAAUCACCAACCACCACCACUUGUUACCAGAUUCAAUAAAUAUAAAAUCGCACGUUGAUAUUUGUAGGGCCAAGCAACAUUAAUCCAAUGUCCGGGUAAAUGCUGAAUAAAGAGGAAGGUGGAAUGUAUCUGCUACUCACCUUCGCUUUACAAGUCUUCAAAGUCAUAAUAAUUACUUUAUUUAUUGAAUUAAUUUUCAUGCUAAAAUGAAGACUUAAAAGUAUACUACAAUAUUUUAUAAUCACAAUGAUAAUUUUAACAAUCAUGUUAUAUUAAUGUCAUGUAAAAAUAAUUUAUAAUAAAAUUUUAGCCGAAUAUAGUAAAUUCGACUUAUUUAUUAAAUAUAUAUAUUUAAUAAAAUAAUAACACAAUUAAUAUGUUAUCAAUCAAAUAGAAACUCUAAUGUGAAAACAAAAACUGUCCCACCACCAAUAAUUUAGCAAGCUUCACUUUAUUACACUACAGUGAAAACAAAAUCGGCCCCCACCACCAUCAAUAAUUUAGCAAGCUUCACUUUAUUACACAAGUGAAAACAAAAACAGCCGCUACCACCAUCAAUAAUUUAGCAAGCUUCAAAUGCUUGUGCUUGUCUGCUUGACGUACUGGGCAUGGGUGGACCAGGCAUCAUUGAGCAAUUCCAAAAAAAUUUUUAAAAAAAUCAGUGUCCAGCAAAGAAAAUCCAUCUUUUGAGAGAUAAAUUAAACAUAAAUACUUAGAUGUUUUUAAAUGAUUGAAUAAUGAUAUUAUUGGUAUUUAUAAAUUUCUAAGACGCGAUAAUUAUGUGGGGGACAUAUAUUUAUGGUUAUAGAAAAUGGCGGUAAAAAUGGUACAAAUCCAAUAUAAUAAAAAUGUAUAAACUGUAGUAAAUUAAUGUUUACUUCAAAGUACGUUAUAAAUAUCGCUUUCCUUAAUAUGUUAUUCGCUCCCAUCGAUUGAGUUAUGCAUAUGGAUUAAGCAAAUAUGCAUCUAAGAUACAAUAAAGCGUUGAUUUGUUUGUUUACGUUGUACAUCAAUGAAAGCAAACAUGAAUAUUCUUGAAUGUUAUAAGCCUAACAAGAAUUAAUAUAUUAUUCUUACAAAAAAAUAAUAUUUUAGAUAUUUGAUGCAUAAAAAAUAAAUGUUAAUCGAUGAAAUUCUUUUGAAGAAAGAGGACUACAAAAAAAAUGUAGGAUCAUUUUAUUCAUGUCUAAUUGACAUUUAUUUUUUAUGAAUGUAGGGGUAUUUUGGUAAUUUUAUGGACACAAGCGUUAUAUGUUGUGGAUAGAUGUUCGUUUUGAACUACAUUGCGUGUGGUUAGUCGUAUUUCACAUUUAUGAAAAGUAAUUAUGUUGUUUCCUUGCUUAGGAGAAACUGCGAAUGAGAACCAAGCCAUUGAUAUGAACAAUAGUCGAGUUUAAGUAUUGUCACUAUAAGUGAAAUAUGCAAACCCAUUUUCAUAUUUUAUUAUGAUUUUAGAGUGUAGUAAACCAUAUUUGCAAAAUAAGAUUUUAAUGCUCUAAUUUAAUGAUUUCUAGAAUAAAUUUGAUUUACGUAUUGGUACAUUAUUAAAAAUUUUAUGAUUAUUGGUUUUCCCUAUCGAUUUUGAGUAACGCAUAAUAGUACUUUGAAGAAAAGAAAAGUAAACUUAAUGUUAAUGGAAAGAAAAGAAGACUUAAUGUACGAUAAAAAAUGUGUUAUUUAUGUGUAUAAAAAUUUGUUAUUAAAAAUCAUGAGACAAUACCUUCUACAUCUAGUUACAAUGAUACAGAUAAGAUGAGAGCUCUUUGGGGCCCCUCUGAACACAUAGAGAGGUUAAUAGGUUGUGUUUUUUAGCGUUUUUGCCCUUUGGAGGCUUAUGCAUGCUGUAUGAUAAUAAAAAAGAUUCAAGAUACAGAUAAGAUAGAGGCCUUUGGGUCUGUCUAAGUGCACAUAGAAGCUUUGGAUCGUGUGCUUGGGUGCUUUUAUCUUUAGGGACUAUUUUAUGCAUGUAGUAUGAUGAGAUAUGAUAAUAUAUAUGAGAUAGCACUUCAUUGAUCUAUCCUUUGUAGCUCCAGGCAUGACAAUGCCCGUAUAGUAUGUCAUUGCACUGCCCAUAUGAGGUCCAGGUACGACAAGAUCAUUUACUUGUUUAGUGACAGUUUAAGAAUAAAGUAUUCUAUGUUAUCUUUUGCUAUGAUUUUCAUGUGUAUUACGUACAGUAUAAUGUAUUCUUCAAUGACAAUUGUUUGAUUUAAAGUUUGAAUAAUUUAACUAUGUUCUUACUUAUAGAUUAGUAAAGUUGGUAUGUCGAAAAGAUAUGAUCAUCUUUAAAGUAAGUUACUUUCAAAAGAUGUUAUCCACUCAUUGAGCUUACUAAUUUUUAUAUUCACCUUAUUUUAUUAUAUUUUUCCCCCUUAUAGAAGGAUGCAUGUAUACCAAUCGACUAACCGACUGUAGUUAUUUUGAAUUUUUGGUCACGUGAUGGCGCUAGGAGAAAUAGAUGGUAUUAUGCAUUUUGAUCAUCUCAUUUUGGAAUGUAUAAUUGUAUUAUGAUUUGAUGAUUAUGGAUGUUUAAUAUAUAUUGAAAUCAGUUAUAUUAUAAUCUUUUCAUAUUGGAGAUGUUUGGGUGUUAUUUGGUAUUUUAGUUGAGAAGGUUGAUUGAUGGAACUGAUUAUAUAUUAAAGUAUGUUAGGAGUGCUUGUAUAAAUUUUCAAUUUUGGGAUUGUUAUAUUUAUAAGGGAAAGAACUGCCGAAUUUUUGGUAGAAUCGUUACUAAUUAAAUUAUUAUCAGUCAAGUUAGACGAUAUCAGAUAGACCCGCAUGGAGUUUGAGGCGAGUUGUUUCAAAUCAAGUCCUUUAUAAAGCUCACUCACCCCUGACCUCUUGUUAGCUCUCACUCGUUACAAGCAUCUAUCUAUCAAUAUAUCAAUCAAUGCUUACAUUUUCUUUCCUCUUAUACAUCAAAACGAAGUUCAUCUUGGCAACCUUGCUGUCGCAUUAUUGUUGUCAAUAGUAUAGAACGUUUACAAUUAUCAUCUUCUGGUUGACCAAACCUGUAGCGACGUUCCAUUCGGAGCCCGAUGUUGAAAUUAAACCAAAAUGAAAUCCUCGGCGCAGCAAUAACUGUACUGAAGGAACGCGUUAUUCAAGCUAGGGAAGACUAUUCUAAAGCGCAUGAAAUUAGUAAAGACAACUAUGAACAGAGCGUGCUCAUGGCUUCCAUACAAUAAAGUCGUAGAAGCUUGCGACAGAGCAAUUGGACCAGCUAAGGUUGGCGAUUUUGACGUCGCAAAAACGGCAGCUGACGAAGCCGACCUGAGCGUUUCUCGCGCUGACGCAUACAACACCGAGAACCCGAACCUGAAACAUGUCAAUUUGAACUUGAAAAUUGCUUCUAAAAAUACAGUGGCCAUAGCCAUCAAGGCUCUUAGUAAUCCUGGUGCUCAAAGCGAAAAUUAAAACAAGGAGAGUACAAUUACUUAAUUUAAUUGAUCAUGAUUUCAGAUUUCUUUCAUCAUCGAUCUUUGUCUUUUUUAUCUUUUUUGAUAUGCAAACCAAUUAUAUUCUUUUUUAUGAUAUUGUUGGAGAGAAUAAUAAUAAUAAUGUGUGCUCUUUGAAGCAGCUUUCUGCUUAUGUUGUAAUGAAUAAUUUUUUAAUUGGUUGAUUGAAUUAUUUGAUGCUUUUAUUUAUUUAAUUACGUGAUGAUCAUGCAUGACUAAUUAAGUGGAUUCAUAGAAUUGGAAAAAUCAAAUAAUGACAGAAACAAAAUAAUAAAUCAAAACGAUUAAUUGAUUGUCUUCAUGUGUGUUAACCAAUUAAUACAAAGAUUAAUUAUCAAUUAAUCAAUGCAUAAAUAUUUGUUGACUUAAUUUUUGUCAAUCAAUCAAAUUUUCUAAUUACAAUUGUAUCAUUUCUGCAACAACUUUCUCUCACAUUAUUAGACAGCUUUUUUUUCUUUUUUCCCUUCCCUUUUUUUUCUGUUUUGUCCUUUUGUUUGAUUGGGCGUAAUGAAACAGAUAUAACAAGGGACCAAGCAUGACCUAUAUGUAUAUCUUCAUCAACAAACAAGGAAACAAGGGAUUGAAUUUGAUGUGUCACAGCACGAUAAGUUAAAUCUUAAAUUUGGACAGACAAGACAAAUAUAGAAGCAUCUAAUCCACCAAAGAAUAGACAUGGGACUUGACAUGAAAAUAAAUACAGACACAAACAUAAACAUUUACUCCUCCAAUGAUUGUUUCAAUAUCUUUAUCCUUGAUAUUUGCUCACUUUUAUAAAAUAUAAAUCUGCUGGUAAAUUUUUUGUACCUUAAACAGUUUUCUGACUUAUGAGAAAAAAAUAUUUUAAAAAAUUAUUGCAAAGAAAAAUUAAAAAAAAAACCUGCUAAAGAGACAAAAUAAUGUCAGAAUGCUGACAAAAAUAAUGUUAAAAUUAACUCGUUUUAAUGUGUUGACAAUUGAGUGAUUACAAUGAGCCCGGCUCAAAUAUUAUAUGACUAUAUUCAACUACAUCACAUAUAAAAUUUGAUUACCUUCACUAUUAUAAGAUGUUAUUUGAUUAAUACAAAUUAAUUCAAAUCUGAUAUGUUAAGUAGAGAAUAACAAUGUUUUAGAUCAUUGUUUACAAUACAUGGAUAAACUGGGUAAUUAGUUUAAAGACCUGUAAACCAAAAAUGGAUUUAUGUAUUCAUCUUAUCUCCACAUUAUAUGUUGAUGCUUUCAUUUCCACUCGUCCUUUAGUUUCUUCUCAAUGCAAAUGCCAGGAUAGGUGGAACAACAUUUCCAAUGUGCAUUGAUCCAGUGCUGAUCACAAUCUUGUAAGAAGAUACGCACAAAUCUUAGAUCAGCCACUAAAUCCAAAUCUCAAUAGCAGAUAUCAAAAUAGCAAUAAGACUUACUUGAGAUCAAUCGCACAUUCACGAACUUUCACCGAUUGUAUCUCUAACUGUUAUUGCACGGAAAUGAGCGCCAUUUGGUAACUUGGCAUUAAGCUCAGGACCGGCAUGCAAAGACGUGCAUUGGUUCUGGCCAUUCCGGCAUUGUUUCCUCAGGUGAAGCUGCCCAUAUGAAUGCUUGUUUACGACAUGGAAACACAUCGUGUGCUGCUGCUUCCAAUGCAUCACACCUCACCUAUAAUAACAACAAUAAAUAGAUGAAUAAUCUAAUCGGAGGUGAUUGUACAUAUACCGACAAUAGGGUUUAUUUUAACUAUGACACAAUUGCACAACUAAUUCCCAUAUUAAGGCUCAAUUUAGGACUGGUUCGGCAAUUAAAAAGUGUUUCGUAAGGACUUUCAAUUAUGAUUUGGAAGUUAAAGAUAAUUUUACUCAACAAUUGUUUGAUGAAAUUGUAUUAGAUCUUGGCCAGGACUUGACCGAGUGUUUUCGAUCAGCUUUCUUUGGCUAGUCACUCAAGUUUAAGCCCUGUAAGUGGUAUGAACCUAAGAAAUUGAUUCAGGCUUUUUGCACCACCCCACAACUUACUAUUUUUUCAAAUAUAUUUACUUUAAAAAUCAGGGCAUCUUGAUAGGCACCCCUCUAUGUUAAGUUAAAUGAAUAUCGGUGGGUGAGGUUUAUAAUAAUAGACAGCAAUAACAUACCACAACUUCUUAAUGGACAUGCAAUCCAUCGGUCGUAGCAGAACUACCUGACAGCGCCUGCAGGGCACAUGCAAUUAUAUUUUGAUCAGUGUUCACGAAGCUAAAGCAGUGUAAAUAACAGAUCAUGGCUUAAUUAAUUAAUUACAUGAAGGUGAUUAAAUAAUUGAGAAUGAAAUUAUAUUAUUAAGCAAAGACAUAAGCUAUUAUAUUAUUAAGCAAAGACAUAAGCUAAAUUACCCCAUUUAUCUGUUUGAAAUCUCGUCUUGAGAGCAAAUGCCGGCACUAACGAGGCUUGCUCAAUUUCGGCCUGCAUGGCUGCAUGUCUGAUAAGAGUGGAAACAUAGUGCCUUUAGCUAAAUCGUAGAAUGUUAAAUCUGAUGCUACUGAAUAUGGUGAGUGAUUCAUAUACACGGUCUUCACGAAUAUAUAGUUGUUAAUUACAGGAGAAGUUGCAAUAUGAAGUUAAUUUGAAAUUUAUAUUUCUCACCUCGAAUAAUUUCUGGUAAAUCGCUGAUUCGAUAAGGUCAAACUUUCUUUAUGAUCAUCAUCUUCUUCUUGGUCUUCGCCUUCCGAUGUUCCUAUUUCUGAUGUUUCUCCACAUUUUCUUCCUCUUUUAAUAACUUUCGUUGAAGAUUUUGACAGAAAUAUCAUUGUGAGAAGAGUAUUUCUAAAGUUUACAACUUGGAAAUGAGACCUUAUGUGAUAUGUACAUGAAGGAUAGAGUACAUGUCAGUAGUUAUAAGAAACAAUGUGAUGGUUUUAAAGAGACUAGUGGUGGUUUUAAAGAACUAAAUAAAGUUUAUUAUUUAAUAAAAAGUCAAAUAUAAAUCCCGAAGAAUCCUCUGUAUAAUCUGACAGGAUCUAGAAAACGGAGGCACAUGCAUGGCAAUAUCAUUACUUUGUAAGACUGGAUUAUUUUUAUAAAUUUUUAUCCAAAGAAACUAAAUAAAGUUUAUUAUUUAAUAAAAAGUCAAAUACAAAUCCCAAAGAAUCCGUUGUAUAAUAUGACAGGAUCUAGAAAACCGAAGCACAUGCAUGGCAAUAUCAUUACUUUGUAUGACUGGAUUAUUUUUAUAAAUUUUUAUCCAAAGAAACUAAAUAAAGUUUAUUAUUUAAUAAAAAGUCAAAUACAAAUCCCGAAGAACCCGCUGUAUAAUCUGACAGAAUCUGAAAAACGGAGGCACAUGUAUGGCAAUAUCAUUACUUUGUAUGACUGGAUUAUUUUUACAAUUUUUUAUCCAAAGAAACUAAAUAAAAUUUAUUAUUUAAUAAAAAGUCAAAUACAAAUCUCGAAGAAUCCGCUGUAUAAUCUGACAAAAUCUGGAAAACAGAGGCACAUGUAUGGCAAUAUCAUUAUUUUGUAUGACUGGAUUAUUUUUACAAAGUUUUAUCCAAUCCCUUGUUUGAUGCCAGUAAAUCAAUAUUUAAAUAUAUAGUUAUUUUGUUAUGUUAUUUGAUUUUAGCUAUUAAUGUCAAUAUUGGAAUAUAUCUUUAUAUUGAACUAAUAAAACAACUGUAUAAAGACAUUUGAAAAAACUUAAUUACGAAUUUUGAAUUCAUGAUGUAAGAUAGCGUUUGAUUUUUAAUCUGAAAUCUGAGUGGGGUCUGAACUUGGCUGAAAUAUGAAUAUCUUUAAAUUGCAUAUGUUUAAAUGAUAUAUUUAUUUUCUCUUUUUCGAUAUCCAAAUAUAAGUGGCAUCUAUUUUUUUUUUAUAAAUCAAAAACAUCCAAAGUAUGAUUACUUAACAUUUAUGUUUUUGUAAGAAUUAUUUAUACUUAUUAUAAAUUUUAAGAGUUAAAUACGUGCACAUUACAAUUAAAAUCAAACAUAUGUAGAGUUGAGUAAUUGAUCUUUAAAUAAAAAUAUUAUUACAUUACUCCAAAUACAAAAUUGAUUCAAACUUAUUAUACUAAUUAAAAUGUGAAUAAAUUUAAAUUUAAAUUUAUAAUUUACAUCAUCUUUUUUACCAUUUAAAAUUGUAAAAUCCCAUUCGCCCAAACCUAGUCUUAAUUAGGUGUACAUAAGUGUAAAGGCCCAUAUGUUCUUAAGAAGUAUUAAGUUUUCAUAGACCCAUAAGUGAAUGGAGAAGUGUAAUGCGAAUGCCCCAAAUUCAAGCCAGAGUUAUAACUGUUGGCAGACCUGUAUAAUCCUUUUAAAACAGUUCUCUAAUUAUAUUAAAAGACGAAAUAAAUCUAAUUAAAUUCUUAUAUUUCUCUCUCUCUCUAUAAGUUUCUUUUUCUAAUUCAUUACUCCCACACAACUACACCAAAGUCUUUUAUAUUUUUUUAUUUUCUCUCAAACACUUUGUAUAUUACAUAAUAACUAUUUAAGUCCAUUUUUAGUUCUACUCAAUUCAAAUAUAUAGAAUUUUCUUUUUAAUUAAAUAUAUAUGAUUUAAACUUUCAAAAUUUUGUAAAAACAAUAUCCCUAAUAUGAGGUUUGUGGAAGAAGUUAAAUAUUUUUUUAAUAAAAAAGAAACUGAAAUUUUAAAAAAGAGUUUUUGAAAACUUAAAAUAGGUUUUGAGAAAGGGGGGGGGGGGUUUGAGAAAAAAAAAUUAUAAGGUGCUAUUAGUUCCACUCUUCAAGCAAAGAUACACAGACCUUUACUCUUCAAAAUAAAUUUUGCGGUGAAUUUUAUUGUUGGCUAAUCACAUUGAUAUGAGUGUGAAUAUGAAAAGGAUAAAACUUAUAAUAAAGAAUUAUAUGAACUAUAUUUUAAAGAGAAAAUAUAUUUUUAAAACUAUGAAAAUUUUCUUACAAAUAUGAGCUAGGGAGAUAAAUUGAAGAGGUUACAUAUCAUCAAUCUAGUUACUUCAGAAAAUGUGGCCCAAUGUCUUCAGAUGGGUUAGUGUUGGUGUGUUACUAAGAAAUAGGCCGAAGUUGUAAAAAUAAAAAAUAAAAACAGUAGGUUUUCAAAUUAACAAAGAACAGUUAUUUCACAGAACACAUGAAUAUCUCUAUGAUGUUAAUGCUUUCAUUUCUACAGCUUCCUUUAGUUUUCUCCCCAGUGCAAACGCCAGAGGAGGUGGAACAGCAUUUCCAAUCUGCCGAUGCUUGUGUUGGAUGUCACCAACAAAUUUAUAGCUAUCGGAGAAACCCUGCGGGAAUCAAGAGAGCAGGGUAACAUGACAGCAGAAACAGUUGGCAAAAUUUAUCUUGUUUGAUUCAAUAAUUAGCUUGUCAAGUUAGAAGUGUCACCGGUGCUGCAUGAAAAAUUAUUUUUGGUCAUUCUGCUUUUUCAUCAUUCCAACUAACUGCAGAUAUUUACAUAUAUAGCCAAAAAGACUUACUUGUGAUCGAGCACACUCACGAACUGUGAUUAUUCUAUCCUGAUCUGGGUGAAAACAGGUUCCGACCAUACCCAUCGGAUGAGGAUCGGUAACGGAGGUUGGAAAAUUUCCUUCCCAGUCCAACCUUCCGAACAGACCCUUCCAUUGAUUAUGCUUUUCAGCUGUAUUGGGUAAGCACCAGGGUAUUAAAUCUACAACCUGUCCGUUAGACAAUCGAACCUGGAGGGGGAAUUUGAAAAGGAAAAUGUUUAAAACCAAAGCAAUUAUGAAAUGAUAACUUCAGUUAGAUCUAAAAGAAAAAACUAUACACCUUCUCACUAGGAAGAACACGCCAAUCGGAACCAGGCUGUUUUGGGAUCUUUUGACACCUAAUAAGGUUCAGCUCACUCAUUGCCUUUGAUAUAUGAUCAUUUAAGACCAGCAUAUCUGCUCUGAUUUUCUUUUGAAACCAUGACACAGGUUCACUUUUAUACUGCACGGUAGGAAAAUACAAGAAACAAGACCUUUGGUAGAAGGAACAACAAUAAAGAUAAAAUGAGCAUCACAGACAGGUGAAGAAAACCCCACUUCCAUGGUUGUUACAGAAGCCCCAUUGCCAACAGCUGGGAGGUCUCCAAUUGUAUCUCUAACUGUUAUUGCACGAAAAGGAGCACCAUUUGCAGUGCUUCGAACAGCAGCAUAAUGGGAAUUUCUUGCUAACUUGACCUUAAGCUCAGGGCCAGUGAACACAUGCAUUGGCUCAGGCCAUUCUGGGAGGGUUUCCUCAGGUGAUGCUGCCCAUAUGAAUGCACGUUUACGAGACUGAGACAUGCCAUAUGCUCCUGCUUGCAGGACACCAAAUCUCACCUACAACAACAAAAUUAGAUGAAUAAUUUAUAUAAGCUACAUGAUACUUUCACAAUUUUCAGAUUAAAUUGACUAAUGAAAUGGAGAAACAAAUUCAGGGAAUUUUGAUAGGUAUCCCUCCAUAAAGCUAUGAGUGAGUAAAUCAAAGAUGGUAUCUACCUGAUAACCCAUCUGGAGGAGAGAAGCCAGAGUUAGGCGAAAUGUUUGCCCUUUGUUAAAUGAUGUAAAGUUCCUUACAUUCUCCAGAAGGAAAAAUCUGGGGCGGAAAUAAUCAGCAAAAGACAACAAUGCUAAGAUCAUUUCACAUUGAACUUUGCUCCAAGAGCCUUGAUUAAACCUAUUCAUUCCAGAAAAUCCCUGGAAAUAACAAAGAACCAAUAGCUAAACUUAAUAAGUCUUUUGUACACAUUUAUUGUUAGAAUUGCUUACAAAAUAAAUCCUAGAAGUAGACUGGAGGAUUGAUCGAUGUACCUGACAAGGAGGCCCUCCACUGAUGAAAUCCACUUGUCCUGGCCGAGGCAAACUCUUAAUUGUCUCUUCAUCAAGUUCUGCUGCUAGCUCAGAAGCUUCAGGAGUUGAAAUACAGUCGUCAGCAUCCCCACAUGCUGACAUGAUAGCCCUGCAUUUGAUUCAUUGAUUUACUGAAGAUAUAAGAGUUGAUUAAAAAGCAGUUAUCACCGAAUCGAACAUAAAGCCAUGAGUUAUUAUACUUAAAUGAAAGCAAACAUCAACCUCAGGAUCACAUUGCAGUUGUUAAUAAACACCAAAGCUUCUGGAUGAUUAACCUUGAAUGCUUCUCCUGCUGGUUGCUCAUACUCUAUUGCCCAGUUGGUUAUCGACACACCUUUAGUUGGAUAUUUGUCAGUCAAAAUAGAACUAAAUCAGUUUACUUGCUCACGGAACUUUGAAAGUUACCUGCUUGCUGUAGGCCAUCAGAUAAGCCACCACAACCUGCGAAAAUAUCUAAGGUGGCUAAACGAUUCUUAUGGACAGCAUCCGUCUGUUUGUCAACAGCACCAUCAUGCUUUUCCUCUUUACAUUUCCCAUUUAUCUUUCUAUAAGCAGUAUCAUCAGCCACCCUCUCUUUUAGCACACUAGUCUUGAUGUGAGGCGGCAACUGGCCAUUAUGCAGUCAUUGCAGUCAGCAUAAGAAGAAACCACAGUUUAAUAAACAUAAUUCACAUGAAUCUAGUUAAGGAAAUGAAUUAAAGGGAAAAUGAGUAAAUAUAAACUACCUGCUUGAUGGUUCCUUUAUCAGGAUCGUAUAAAUGCUCGCAGAAGAAAAUAUGCUCAAAGAUUGUGGGGCUAUCCAAAGGGGCAAGAUCAUGCUUCUUUCUAAUGUCACAUUUGCCUUCUACUCCAGUAACAGGAACUGUCAAUACUAGUUUACUGUAAUAAACCUAAAGAUUCAAUAGCAAAGAAACUGUGUAUAAGAUCCAUGAUAACAUAAUAACACCAAAAAGUCAAAUAGAAACUUUGUAUCACAGAAUAUAUAAGACAAAAGAACACGUAAUCAAAAGUAAUAAAAAAAAGGGAAAGAAAGAAAAUAUAAGACAAAAGCACACAUAAACUCUAAAAGAUUUUACUCCAUUCAAUAAAAAAGAAAUGUUUAGAUCGGUUCCUAGAACAUACUUACUUCUCUAAUGUCAGCGUAGUAUGCUUUCUCCUCUGAUAUGUCCUCGGGUCUGAAAAAUCUCCGAACUUUAACCUUAGUGGAUCCAGGGCAAGCUUUUGUGGAAGUCUCUGGUACUUCAAUACCUAGCAACUGACAAACAACAUAUGCUUUCAUCCCUUCGUUUCUAAAUGUAUCUCGGUUCCUAUCUUUAUCAGAAAAAUGAUGAUGAGCUACGUAGACAUAAUCAUGAACAUGGUACUCUGUUCCUUUGAGAGUGAAACCAUUUCUGUUCAAAUUUACCUUGAAAACGUCCUUCUCCCUCUCGGUUUCCUUUAUUUUACAAGAAUGGCAAACUCCUGUUCCAAGUCCCAUGGUAUCUUUUGGAAGCUUAAAGAAAGCACCUCUCUCAGGCCAGUACAAGCUUUUGCAAUAAUAUUCCAUGGGGAAUUGAUCAAUUCUUAGAUCCUCUGCUCUUUCACGAACAAUCUUGUCCUUGCAAGCAUUAGUCUUCCGAUGUUGAUGCCCCCAAGGAAUCAAUAAGAUUUCAACUGCCACAACUUCUUUAACAUCUUCCAGUUCAAUUUCCAGGCAAUCGUUCGUCAAAAAAACCUCAUUAGCAUCUGCAGUAUUACCAAGAAACGUUUCAGAGCCUCUUAGCAUGUGUCUGCCAUGAACCAUCUUUCUUGAAUCUGACUUUUCAAACAUAAACUCUACAAAAUAUAUUGAAGGCAAAUGAUCUGAAUCUGCAGUUUCAACCAGCACGCAACCACCAACAUUAAUCACAUUGCCACAAACAAUGGCCCGUUUGUAAAGAGACUCACUGAAACAUGCUUUUCUUAUUAACUCCCCAUCCCAUUUGGUAACCUUCGAAGAGCAAGGCGGCUUAACACUUUUCGCAGAUAAACAAAAUUUCUCCAUAUUCUCAUCAACUUGCAUCUGUUCCACUUUAAUGUCUUCAGGAUCUUCCACACUAUUUUCUCCAUGUUCUUCAUCGAGUUCUUCAUCCACUUUCACUUCACGGAUAUAUGCCUCCUUUGAAUCUUCAGGCAAAUAAUUUGAGUAAAACUCUUCCCAAAUUCUCUUUAUCAAUCUCGUGGUUGUUGCUUGCAUUACCUUGUUUUUUGAUGCUCUCAGAUUUGAAUUUAUUUCCUUCUUCAGCACCACCUUUUUCUUCACCAAAGACCUGGUGUGGCGUCUUUCCUCCAUUUUUUCAAAAAGACCAGACACAAAUGCACACUUGCUGAUCCUUUUAUUAGGAAGCUCCGCAAAUUGUUGGAGUAUGAUAUGUCCAUGAACCACCACAUACCUUUCAACUUCUGUGGGAUUGGAAGAAAUAUAAGCAGGAUUAGUCUUACUGAACUUGGACACUUUUUUUAUUACAUCUGCAAACGAGAGUCGAGAUGCUCGGCUCUGAUUGUUCAACAUUGUAAUGAGGGCAAUAGCAAGCCUCGCAGUUUUUAGAACUGGUUUAAACCACGCUGCAUACUGCUUUGAUGGCCUUCCAAGCCUAUACCUGAAAACAAAAUCGCAAAUUUGAUAAGAACUAACACUGCCAGAAGAUAAAGAGUACAAAAAGGCAAGCUUAAGCACUAGUACCACCACCAAACCUCUUGAUAUUAUAUGGAUAUAGAUGCAUACCAGGAAAUAUCUGUCCGAACUGAUAUGGAAACGAACGAGUAUCCAAAUUCGAUCAUCCAUUCCUGUAUUGCACUCAAAUAUACUGGUAUUCCCCCAACAUUCUCUGCCACAGAUGAAGACUGAUCAAAAUUAGCAUCAACACAUAUUCCACUUGAAUCACCAGUUGUCAUAAUGCCGGACCCAAAAAUGGUAAUAUCAUUAUCAUCACAUGGUUUCAUUGGGAGGAGCUCCAAAGAAAUCAACCGCGAAUCUGAGUUGUAAAGUGACCAAUUGUGAAGCAUUCUUCGAGGAAACUCAUCAGGAUUAAUUGCAUCAAAGAUUAAAUACUCAUCAUUUUCCUCCUCACUGGGCUUGUAAUAUGCAGGCAGAGGAUAGUCAUCAACAAUUUCAUCCUCAUUGAUUUUACUGCAGAACUUGCUUGAUGAACCAAUUCUCCUCUGAGUUUUAUUAUGUUUCGUUGAUUGCCAAUUCUCCUCUUCCUGCAACAGCCUUGCCAAUUUCAUAUCUUUAUCUUCUUCACCUCCAGAAACAGAUGAACUAGACUGAUUGUUUUGCUCUUCUUCACCAAUUCUCAUACCUGUAUUUAUGAGACUGCUGGAUGCACUGGUUUCCAGAGUAAUUAAACUCCCUUGCUUCUUAGUUUCAUCCAGCAGUGCAAGGAGCACGGGCAAGUUCUCAAAGAUCUGAUCAUUUUUCUUGGAUGUAUCAUCUAAACCGAUGAGUUGAUUAUAUAUGAAUUCACCCUGUGAGAUUAUAAAUUCCCUCAUAGAUGUCCUGUGAGGAAAAUUCUUGCUAUCACUCAUGGAACGAACAACUCCUGCAAGCAAUUCAUCGACAGUCUGAUCAGGGUUCCCUCCACAAGAACUUGAAAGUUUUUUAUAGACCUCCACAGAGGCACGAGCCUUUUCAUAGAAAAGGUUAUAUAGCAUUUUAUAACUAUUAGCAGGUUUAACACAAUCAUAGUCUGCAGUGACAGUUGAAAUCCAAAAUACCGGUGAGCCUUCCUCAUAUCCAGAUAUUGCCCAAGAUUCAACUCGUCCGAAAUCUUCACAUCUAACACCUCUUUCCUUCUGUCUUCCACAACAUUUUUCAAGAGGCAAUAUAAGACCUGAAACGAACAAGUUUCCAACUUCCAACAUUUCAACAGACUUUAGGUUUCCACAAGCAUCAUGAAAGGCAAAUUCUGUUAGCCUUCGAUUUGGUCUAAAGUCAUCCUUUCCAGUGGUCAAGCUUAUUGCAACCUCUUCAUUUUCUGCAACAACUUCCCUUGUGCUUUCCACAAAAGAUGCACUUCGAGAGAAGGAAAGAGAUUUAUCCAUGAUAUCCAUACAUGCAGCAGCUCUCUUUGGCACUUUCCAAGAAUUGGAUGAUUCUUCACUAUUCUCAUGUCUACUUCUCUUUUGUUUUCUGGCCGUCUCACACUUCUCGUCUAUUAUAUUAACUUCAAUGGCAGAAGAUUGCUUUCCCUCGGCUAUUUUUUCCAUAUCUAGAAAUAAUUAUCCAAUUGAAAACAGGAAUAAAAGCAGAUACUAUUAAACUCCAUGGUUACUUUGGUAUAUGAAGAAAUAAAAUGACCAAAAAGGAACUCUAAUAGAAUAAAUAAGGAAACGAUCGAGUUUGGGAGCGAUAAUUAAUCAUCUAUUUUCUUUUGAUGUGGAUAAUAAAAUCGAAAAGGUAAGCUCACUCAAGUCAAUAAAGACUAAAGCAUGGGGUAACAACAUUCAGAAUCUAUUGUCACAAAUAAAAAGAAAUUUAAACAAUCAGAAAAGUGAGCAACUUAAGGACGACACUUGUUACAUAUGCCAAAUGUGGUAGUCUGGGCAUUCAAAAGUAAUAAAGCAAUCUUUAAAUUAACGCAUGUCCAGAACACUAUGAAGCAAGCUGCUGAGGAUUCAACGUGCUAUAUACAGAAUGUUCUUAAUGGUGUUAUUACUUUCUUCACAUAAACUUUUGAUGACUAUUUUGCCCGAGUUAACACAACUAAAUGUAAAUGACAUACCAAAACUAUUUAACAACUUGAAACAAAUUCCGAAAUUAGAUAUGCACAUGGCUAUAUUCUUCGUAUACCACUGACCAAAAAUAUUAGAAAACCAUAGAUGCUAUCAGUAAUUAGAACCCAAAAAAAAAAAAAAAAGUCUAGAAAACGGAACAGCUAACUAAUAAGUAUUACAGACCUGUAUUUAUGAAAUUGCUUGAUACAGUAGUUUCUGGAGCCAGUAAACUCCCUUGCUUCUUAGUUUCAUCCAGCAGUGCACAGAGCACAGGCAAGUUCUCAAAAAUCUGAUCAUUUUUCUUGGAUGUUCCAUCUAAACCAAUGAGCUGAUUAUAUAUGAACUCACCCUGUGAGAUUAUAAAUUCCCCCAUAGAUGUCCUGUGAGGAAAAUUCUUGCUAUCACUCAUGGAACGAACAACUCUUGCAAGAAGUUCAUUCACAGUCAGAUCAGGGUUCCCUCCACAGGUUCUUGACAAUUUCCUAUAGACCUCGACAGAGACAUGAGCUUUUUCAAUGAAAAGGUUAUAUAGCAUUUUAUAAUUAUUUGCAGGUUUAACACAAUCAUAAUCUGCUGUGAGUGUUGAGAUCCAAAAUACUGGUGAGCCUUCCUCAUAUCCGGAUAUUGCCCAAGAUUCAACUCGACCAAAAUCUUUACAUCUAACGCCUUUUUCCUUAUGCCUUCCACCACAUUUUUCAAGAGGCAAUACAAGACCUGAAACAAACAAGUUACCAACUUCCAACAUUUCAACAGACUUUAGGUUUCCACAAGCAUCAUGAAAAGCAAAGUCUGUUAGCCUUCGAUUCGGUCGAAUGUCAUCCUUCCCAGCAGUCAAGUAUAUAGCAGCCUUCUCAUCUUCCACAACAUCCUCCCAUCUGUUUUCAACAAGAGAUGCCUUUAUGGACAAGCGAAGAGAUUUCUCUUUAAAAUCUGAACAUGCAGCAGCUCUCUUUGGCAUUUUCCGAGAACCAGAAGCUUUUUCACUAUUCUCAUGUCUGCUUCUGUUCUGUUUUCUGGUCACCUCAGACUUGUCAUCUGUUUUACUAGCGUCAGAGGCAUUAGAUUGCCUUUUUUUGGCUAUUUUUGCCAUUGCUGGAAACAAAAGUCCAAUGAAAACAUGAAAUUAAAAUGGACAUACUAUCACUCUCUAUGGUUACUUUGAUAUAGGAAGUAAUGCAAUAAAAUGAUCUAAAAGAAAUCUAAAUAGGAGUAAUGCAAUAAAAUGAUCUAAAGGGAAUCUGAAUAGGAUAAGUAAGAAAAUUAGUUUAUCAGCCAGUAUUACGAAUCCAUUAUCUUAUGAUAUUGACAAUAAUGAUCAAAAGAAAAACUCACAGAAGUCAAUAAAAACAUGACUGAGUAUCGACAGCCCGAAUAUACUGUAUCAAAUAAAAACAGAACACUGAGCAACUUAAAGAGGAUACAUGCUUCGUGCGCCAAAUGUGGUAGCAUGAAGCAUUCAAAAGUAAGCAAAACAAAAUUGAAACACCACACAAACAAACACAAUCAGAAAACUUAAACUUAUACAGAGAACAACCUGAAAUUGAAACAUAAUAUGUCAAAAAAAGUAAACUUUUAAAUAUCCUACCCAAAAAUGCAAAAAAAAUAAAAAGACAAAAACCAAAAUGUACAACAUUCACUAUAAGAAUCACAAAGUUGUACGUUAUAAAUAAACCCAAAAAAAAAAAUCAAAUUUUCUGUCUAAUUAAAUCACAUUACAAAGCUUUGCUUCGGAUAUUAUAAGAAUUGCUGCCUUUAUGCACCCACUUACGUUUUUGCUCACUUUCUCUUCAGAAAGCUCUCAAUUUAUGCAUGUAAUGCUCAAAACUGACAACCCAUUUGUUGAAUCUACACAAAUCUCACUCUCCCUGCAGAUACAUUUGUGGUUGCAAUAACAAUUUUAGUGAGAGGAAAAGAGCAAAAUGCCAGAGAAAGCUGACCUGAUUCUUUGUUGUUUUGUUAACUCACAUUCAGUGUACACUUGCUGACCUCAUUUACAGUUCUAUAUAACUAUAGUCAACCCAACUCCAAUUUUGGCAACAAUGGCAACAACUAAAGCCCUAAAUCAUAUUGUCUCAAAACACAUUCGUUCUAUACUCAAAUGGGUUUUUCUUACCCUCUCUCUCUCUCUCUCUAGAUAUAUAUAUAUAUAUAUAUAGACACACACACACACUUCAUUUCUGUGGGCUGUUAUAAUAAAAUCAUGAACAUGUGGCGGGAAAGCAGUUCACUUGGUUGUACAUUUGUACCGAAAGCCCAAAAUUCGGUAUGACACCUUUAUCAGCUUCCUCCGUCAGAGUUUUAGACCAAGGUUUCAUCAGAUUACGUAAUUACCCUUAUAUUUUAACGGAAUUACAUAUAUACCCUUAAAGUAUUUGAAAUGCCUUACGUUUUGAUUGGUUCGUGGCUCUUUGGAUCUAAAAUGCUUAAUUAAUUUAUCACUUUCACUUAAAUUGCCGCUUGGGCCCACGGCUUGCCGGCACGGACUCAGUACAUAGUUGUUAAUUACACCAUAUUUUAACUGCGGUAAUGAAGUUUAAAUUUAUAUGCCCCACCUUUCAAUAGUUUCUGGUAAAUCGGUAAUUCGAUUUUGUAAAAAUAAUUUCAAUAUCUGCAUCAUAUAUUCCUGCACCUUUUCUUCCCCGUUCAACAAAUUCUCCUCUCUCUCUCUCUCUCUCUCUCUCUCUCUCUCUAUAUAUAUAUAUAUAUGAUAUAAUUUUUUUAGAAAUUAUAUCAUUGCGAUUUACGACUUAAGAAAAGAGACCUUGUAUGCAAUGUGCAUGAUGGAUAUAAACACCUGAGCCUCUAUUUAUAAUAAAUAAUUUAGUGAUUUUAAGGAAUUUAAAUUAAAUUCGUGACUUAAUAAGAAAACAAAUCUAAAUCUUGAAGAAUCUGUUAUAAAGUGUGAUAUAUGGCAUCAUAGUUAUGAGUAAAGAGAAAAAUAAUGUACCAACAAGUGCGUAGAUCAGUUGGCAUGAGGUUGUUCUAACUUAAUUAAGGUUCUUAGUUCAAGACUUGAGAAUGCAGCUGCGUUAAAUACUUGUUACGAGAAUUUUACCACGCUAGUGGUCCUAUUAGCUUGAAUUUGGAUUAGUCGCCGAAUAUAAUAUUCGGAUACCAAAUACUUUAAUAUACUAAAAAGAAUGUAAUUAAUUUUAUAUACAUAAGCAUCGAAUCUCUCUGAGGAACCAAUACAAGUUAAAAUUAUCUUUAGCAAUAGCAGGUAAUAAUAAAAUUCUAUGGCGACUUUAGAUAUAUACUCAUAAUACAAUCUAAAAAUCUAUCGAGAUUAACUUAAAAAAUUACGCUCACUAACAAUAUUACCCCUAUUCACCAUUUUUUUUGUAAAAAGAGGUCAGAGGCCUCGUGAGGGCUCAAACCAGUGAUAUAGCAAACAAAUAUUUUGCUAAUUAAAAUUAAAGGUGAUUUAGGAUAAAAUUAGGUUUGAUCAUUUUAGGAAGCUUUUAAUAUUGUAAUGGCUGGUUUAUUUAGAAAUUUUUUUGGGUUAAUCUUGACAAAACAAGGAAAAUUUUUAUUAAUAGGAAAAUAGAUGAGACCUAAAGAGAGGAGAUGUAAUAAACCUUACUUCUUAGGAGAAAACUCAAGAAAAAUAAACCAACAAUAAUUAAGCGAUAUACACUGCCACCAUAAAAAUUUAAAAAAAAAAUACUUCGUAGAAAAUAAAAAUGCAAGAAUAAGUAAUACAAUAAAAGCAAGCUGACAAGCAGCCUAAAAUAUGAACUAAUAAAGUCUGGGCCUUAGAAUUCCUCCAAUGUAGACAAUAAAAUAAUUAAAAUAAAUACGUAAUAAUGACUGUAUGUAACUGCAAAAGAACAUUAAUAAAUUUUGUGCUUCUUGCAAGUAUUUUGAUCAUACCAUUGAGAUGUGUUACGUGGUCAAUCUGGGACUCCGUUCCCAGCGGUUAAGUGGAAAUUGACAGACUAUAAUAGAUAAUAAGAAAUCAGAAGAUAUGCCGCCUCCUCAACCCUUGAAUACUCCACGACCUGAGCCUUCCAUCACUAAGCAGAUUGCAGAUGUGGGGUCUUCGAGUGUACAAACGGAGAACCGAGCUAACGCUACAACUGCAGAUGAACCUUAAUAAAUAAUAAUAACUGCAAAAAAAAAAAAUCUUGCUUGAUUUUGUUGGCAUUACACUUUCUUUUCUUUUUCCUAAAAAAAAAACGAAUUUCAUUUCAACCAAAUAUCAACGUGUACACAAUAGUUCGGCUGGAAAACCCUCCAAACAAACCAAAUUUCUGAAUAUAAAUGUAAAAGCCGGCUUUAUUAACAUAUGAGUAGAAUAAUGUUACCAAUUAACUUGGACCAAAUUUGUGGAAAUGAUGAAUUGACAGCAUUAAACGUUGUGCUAUUAUUAGUAUUAUUUUUAGAAUUAUUAUAUUUAUUAUUGUUAUUGUUAUUGUUAUGAUAUAUAAUAAUAAUAGUACUUGUAGUAAUUUAUUUUGAUUUUUAGACAAAAUAACCACAUUAAUAGAAAUACAACUUAUUCUAAUUAUAAUUCCUUUAGUUCAAUUAAAUAAUUUAUUUUAAUUCUAAUUUUCACUUCUCAUUCUAAUUGCGGCAUCAAUUGAUAAAUGUAGAAUAGAUAUUUGUGAUUGUAUUGGAUGCAAUAAAUGAAAGAGAAUUUUUGCCACUAUUUCAAGUUGAAAUAGUCCCCAUCCUUUUAGAUUUAUACACUAUAUCAAUUCAAACUUCAAUUAAAUUUAUACCAAACUAAGCUUUUAUUUAAUGAUCUUUUAUCAGUUAUCAAUUACUUAUUGAGUUAAUAUUUAAUUUUUUUAAUUUAUAAGUAAUGUCAAUUUUAUGUUACUAAAACGACAUGGCAUAAUAAUAAAAUAUGGGUUUUUGUGUCCAUUUUUUAGAAUAACGAGGUCCACAAUAUAUUGUUACAAAACUUGGAGGUAUGGAAUAAUAAAAUAAUAACAUAUAGUGCAUGCGUAAUGUCUUAUUAUUCUCAGUGCCGAUGUCAGGAAUUCAAUCUAGUACGGAUUAAGUUUAAAUGCAAUGUAAUUUAAAUUUGGUCAAUAAAUAAAAUAAAAAUCUAUUAAUAUAGUCAAUUUAAUAUAUUUAUAAUUGUCUUUGACGUGCUUUUAUAUGUUGAAAAUAUUGAAGAAUAACCCUAUUAUCAAGAUUGCAAAAUCUAUCGUUUUCUAUGUAUACAAUUAAUUUCUCUCAUUCGAUUCACUAAUUAUUUUUCACAAAAUUCUUUGCUGAAAAUGCCAUUUUUAUUAUAGUUAUGGUAACUAAUAAAAUCAAUAGUAACGUCAUCAAUAGAUAAAAUGAUUAAUACAAUUUAUUUUUCUUAGUAUCAACUAUUUUCUUACUAGUUCACCAAUCCAUUUAUUCCUGAAAAUUUGUUAUCAAAACCUACAUCUAUGAUGUAAAACAUUAAGUUGAAUUUCAAGAGGCACAAGAUCCAUUGAAAUAAAAUCAAUUGGAUAAAACUCAAUAAAAUGAAUUUUUUCAGUUCUUUUAUAUAAGGAGAGUUAGGGUCAUAAGGAUAUCAAAAUAACAAUAUUUCUUUAUGAAUUGGAGGUGUAAAAACAAAUAUCUAAUAUUUUAAUUAUUUUUAAAUUUUAGCAAGUACUUUUACAGUAAAUCAAAUUGAAAGUCUGUAGCUUUUGAAAAGUCAAACAGGGACUUCAGCAUCUCUGAGCGCUAGUGUACGGUACCACCGCUGAUUAUUCUUACUCAAUAACUACUGUUCACAAACCUAAAACCUUGCUUUUAAAAACUUGACAAGGAUAAAAUCUUAUUCCGUAAAAUUACAUAUUUUUUUGUCUCACAAAUGCAAUACUCUAUGUUGGAUAACGGAUUUUUAUUUUGAUUUUUUUUAAUUUAAGACAAAAUUUCAUUUAAUUACUUUAAAACCGCCACUUUUUUUUUGUAUAAAUAAUGCUAUAGGCUCCAGCCAUUUUGCACAUCUGACGAAAAAGUUUCAUUUUCUAAGUAAAAAAAAAAAAAGCUUCAGAAAUAUUCCCUCACAGUAAUAUUUCUGACAAAAAAAUCCGACAGAAGCUGUUGAACGAGGGGGAAAAUGUAGAAUAACAGCAGAUUUAGGUUACGAAGGAGAAGAUCCAGAGGAAGAUGAAGAUCGCGAGAAAGAUUAAUAUUAUCGAAUCAGCAAUUUACCAGAAACCAUUUGAGGUGAGAAAUAAAAAUUUGAAUUUGAUGGUACCGAUUCCCGAUUUUGUUAGAUCAAUUUUUUUUUUUUUUUUUGGUUUUUGGCGGUAGUGUCAUGGCCGUUGAUGGCACAACGACACAGGCGAUGAAUUUUUAUUUUUAAUAAAUUAAAUAUUAAUUAAUUUUUGGUGUAACGGUAGUUUUGGAAAUUUAUUUUAUAUUAAAGGAUAUUUUGGUAUUUAAGUUAAAAAUUUUAGAGAAAAUGACAUUUAUACCCUUUUGGUGAAAUAGUCAUAUUAAACCCGUAAGGGACACAACGAGACUCCUUUUCUACUGUAAUAUCCUUUAACUAUAGUAUCCUCAAAAAAUUGAUUCUAGUGUUUUAAAAGAAAUAAAAAUAUAAUGUUAAAAUAAAUAUAAUAAUAUAUACAUUUUAAAAUAAAAAUAUUUAAUCACUAUACAAUAUGUUAGAUAUAUUUUAUUAUAUUAAACUUAAUUUGAUAAUAAAUGGAAAUAUAAUAUAAAAUAAAUAUUUUAAAUUUUAAAUUAUUUUGAAUAUCAUAUCAAAUAAGUUAAUAUUAUUAAUAUGUGAGAUAUGUUGAAUUAAUAGUAAAAUCUAUUUAAGCUAAAGAUUUAUUUCAAAUAUUUUAAUAAAUAUAAAUAAAAUAUUUUAUAUUUUCAAAUUAUUUUAUAUAUUAAAAAUAUUUUAAUAUUUAGGCAAAUAAAUUAAUAAAUAUUAUAUUUUCAUUUAUUAAAAAAUUUAAGGCUAAUUUUUUUUAGCUAUCAUAUUCAAAGUAUAUUAAAGUAAAAAAAAGAUCUUAUAUCCCUCAUUAAAAACUUGUGAAAAACUUGAGAGUUGUUUGAUAAUUUCCUCAAAUCUUAGAGGUGUAGCUAUCUUUUUUCCAAAAUUUUAUUAUCAAAUAAUCAAAUUUCUAAAAGUUGUCGCUUUUUUUUUUGAAGUUAUAAUUAGCUUAGCUGCUUUUAAGAAUCUACAAAAUCUAAUUACUUGAAAAUCAAAUUAUUUAAUAAUCACUUUUGAAUUGAAUUUAACAACACUCUUUGGAUGCUCGUUGUCGAAGCAUGUCUUUACCUGGCCUGGUGCGCACCCUACACAACCGAAAGGCAAGGCCUGUUUGGAAAGUUAGACUAUGAAGGAAAUUAAUUGAUGGAUAGUAUUUGAUUAAUUUCAUCUAUUUUGUAUUUAGGCUCCAUUUGGUAUAAUUUUUCAAAGAAAACUUAUUUAAUUAGAGUUUUUGUUAGUAGAGCUUUUGUAAAUAGAACUUUUACUAAAAAAAAAAAAGUUUAGUUGUUUGGUUGACAAUAAGAGCUUUUAUUAAAAAUUUAUGAAAUUACUUUAAUAGGUAAAUUUUUUAAAGUUAUAUUAUGAAAACAAUAAAUAAGAUUGUUAAAUAAGUAGAGAAUAUUUUAGAUGUUUUGAUAUUUAAAAAAAAAAAUUAACCUCUACUCCCAUAGAGAUAAAUAAUUUCUUUAAGUUUCAAAAGUUCUAUUAAAAAAAUAACCAAAUAACAACAAAAAUUAUAAUAAGAACUUAUAAAAUUAAAUAAAUACUUAUAAACAUUAAAUAAAUCAUACCAAACAAACACUUAUUAGUUGGGGCUUUAACUUGUUUUCUCAAAUUUCAAAUUCCGGAAGAAGAAUAGGCUUCUCAAAAGGAACUUCCAAUUAGGGCUUUUAACGCAGAACCCGAAGCAAGAUAUUUGUUUAGGAAAGGUCACUAGUAAUUAUAUAUAUGUUGGGUUUUUAAACAACUGAAGAGGAGGCUGCAAGGAGAAAUUUUUUAAUGCACAGAAGAUAUUAUGUCGGCCAUAUGAGAAUAAUCUGAUGAAGAUGAAGAUGAAGAGACGACAGCAGCCGGAGUUCAUGACUUGGUUUCUCUUAAUACAAUUAAUCUGCUCCAAGGAAACUUUCCUGUACGUUUUAUACACACAUAUUUCAAAAUUUUUGUUAUCAGUAGAAUCUCUAUAAACUAAUAGGGUUAGAACCAUUUAAAAUCUAUUAAUUAAAAGAGAUAUUAAAUAAUCGAUAAAUUAAUAAUUUAUUAGUUUACAGAGUAUUUACAACUCAAUUAACAUACAUUUAAUAACUAAACAUUCAAUGCACUUUACCGAUAUUGAAUAUGCAUUAAACUAUACAUUCAAUUAACCAAAAUAGUAAUUUCAUUGUACUUUUCUACUUAAUUAAAUAAUAUUCAUGUUACAUUAACCUAAUUAAAUGCAUUCAAUGAAUUAGAUUAAAAAUAAUUUAAUUCAUGUUAUUCAAUGUAUUUAACCAAAAAAAUAAAUACAUUGUAAUUAUCUAUGUAGUUAAUUAAAUAAUAUUCAUGUUAAUUAACUUAAUUAAAUGGUGUUCAAUGAAUUUGAUUAAAAAUAAUCUUUAUAUAAAUAAACACUAAGUCUUCUUUUAUUUUAUAUUAAAUAACUGAGACUUACAUUAAUACAUUAAAUUCUAUAAAGUACAUGUCUAGCAGACAAAUAACCCUCACAAACGAUAAAUAUCCUUACUCCACUCGUAUUUCGCAAGAAAAAAAAAUUUAUAAAUAUUUAACUCCCACAAUACUUUUAUGGGUCUAACCGCUGCCCUCACGCUUAUACGCUUGUGAGAGCAGCAGCCCAACUAUCAGGCCAAGGCCCAAUGGCCACAUUCUUCAAACCAGAAAAGAACUUUGAUUUCUGGCCAACCGUAACCAAAAUUAAUUAUAUGGGAUUGUGUCUAUAUCUAUACAUAUAGAAACAAGUAGCAGACAGUGCGGGCGUGGGUGAUUGGCGCUGCAAAACGAAUAAAUAAUCAUGCUAUUUCAGUAUAAAUAUUCACUACCGUACUGCAUACAAUAAAUCAAAUGAGAGACUUUUUGCCACUAUUUAAAGUUAAAAAAUUCAAGUAAGAAGACUCCACUUACUUUGGGUAAUAUCGAGAAUCACAAUAUUUGAGUCAUAAUUUCAGUCUUACACAUUAUAUGUCAUUUAUCAAUUAGAUAAAUGAUUUUUUUAAAGUUUGAUUGAUUUUCCACUUAUAUCACUUUUUAAUGAAACCUUUUAAUGCUAAACUAGAUUACAUUGUUAAAUUUUAAUGCAGAGAAUUAGAAUAUCCUUUCAUAGUCAGAAUAAUAAAAUGUAAAAAUGUAAAGUUCUCCAGCUUUUAGAUUUUUAUUUCUUUGCACAUCAUCAACCUACAAUAAAUAUUUUUUGGCCGGUGCUAAAUUACGUUUAAUGUAACUUGUGCCUCUCACAACAACAGUACCCGGUCCCACUAGUGGUACUGUUGCUAUGAGAGGGCGUGAGUUACGUUAAACGUAACUUAGACCCUCCCAUAUUUUUUUAUGUUGAGUGUCGUAUCAUUUUAUUUGACAAUUAUGAUAGUUCAAAUUUUCUUAAAAAUUCAAAUAUAGUUCAAAUUAACUGUCAGAUUCUUAAAAAUUAUAAUGCCUUUUCUUCUUGUCAGAGUUGAUAUCAUACUGAGUUAAGAUAAGAUUUAUUUUUUAAUAUAGUUAACGUCAAUUUUGUAUUACUAUAAACGUAUAAUGGUAAAACAUAGGUGUUUUUUGUCCAUUUUGUAAAUCAAGGAGGUCUACAAUUUUUUUUUUUGUUCGGGGCGGGGGGAAUCUAGGAGGUUUAAUUUUGGAUUAUCCUCUGAAUUGAUAGUCUUCAAAAUAACUCUCAAAUAAUUAUAAAACUCAAUCUACCUCUUGUUUUUGUAAAGAAGACAAAAAAUUUCAUUAAUUCACCCCAUUUUCCUUUAUCUUUUGAAUGAAAAUAGGAUAAGUUAAAGUUUGCAAUAGCUUAGAGAGUAUCUUGAAAAUUGUCAUUUCAUGAGGGGAGUAAUCCAAAAUUUUAUCCAUAUAGGUGUAAUAAAAGAACGAUAUAUAAUGCUUGCGUUUGGGUUAUUAAACAUUGGUGUUUUGUGUCCAUUUUGUCAAUCAAGGAGGUCUAAAUUUUUUUUUGGUUUUUUUGGGGGGGGGGGGGGGGGGGGGGGGCAAUCUAGGAGGUAUAUAAGAAUAUUUAAUUUUGGAUUGUCCAAUGAAUUGAUAAUCUUCGAAAUAACCCUCAAAUUAUUGUAAACCUCAAUCUACCUCUUGUUUUUGUAAAGUAGACAAAAAACUUCAUUAAUUUACCCCAUCUUUCUUUAUCUUUUGAAUAAAAAUGGAGUAAGUUAAAGUUUGCAAUAACUUAGAGAGUAUCUCAAAGAUUGUCAUUUAAUGAGAGGAGUAAUCCAAAAUUUAUCCAUAUAGGUGUACUGAAAGAACAAUAUAUAAUGCUUGCGUUUGGAUUAUUAUUCUAGCGAAGACUCUCCAAAGUAAUAUUCUCUAUAAAAAUAACUCUUAUAUAGUCAUAAAAAAUUAUGAUACCAAUUUGGAAUAAUUGUUAUUGGAGAAUAUAAUUAAUUACCUUGAUGCACUGCAGAUUUUCCUCUCAAUUACCGGACAUUCUGUUCUCUAAUUUUAUUUACUUUCCUGCUUUUAUUUCUUUAAUUUAGGGAUUGUACAGCUUUGCAUUUAGUUGCUUUCCUUUAUUAUUCUUUAGAAGUCAACUAGAAUUUUGUAUAUAAUUCCUUGUAUUUUAUGAUGUAAAAGUAACAAGAUGUGAUAGCAUUUUCCAGAACUUUCAUUUUCAUCAAUUGUAAAUAAGAAUAAAUUUUAUAUUGUAAUAAGUUAUAAGUUUUAUAGAUUUUUUUUCUUAAAUAACUUGCCUCCACAUAAUAAUAAUAAUUUGUAUAUUGCAAAAAAGUAUACGCAACAUUAAUGGCUUAAUAAGGGAUAAAUAUUUUUUUUGAAGUUACAAUAAUUUAUUCUUUAGAGUUGAUACCACAUCUUUGAACUUAAAGGUACAUAAUAACUCAUUAAUAUGAACACCUUUUUGUUGAUGCCAAAGUAUUUCUACCUUCUCAAGCGUGUUUAGAGAUUCAUUAAAUUGACAUUCUCCAUUAUGUAUUUUCCUCUACAUUGCUCAGGCUAAGGAUAAUCAAGUUUAAAAAAAAUUGAAUUAAAUAUCUACAAAGUUUUAACUUCUUUAUAAUACAUAAUAAAAUUAGAUAGUUCUAACAAUAUGAUUAUAAAGAGAUCUUACUGUAUUUUUUUUCUCUCUCUUCAAUUUUUUUUAAAGCAUUGACCUGUAGAAAUUUGAUUCAUAAUUAAAAGAUACUCUUCCCUUUUUCCUUUUUCCUUUUUCCUUUUUCGCUUAAACAAAAUUCAUUUCAUUUAAACGAAAUCAAAGAGUACACAAUAUACUUCUGCUGGAAAACCCACCAACCAAACUACAGUUUCAGUAUAUGUAAAAGCCAACUUCGCUAACAUAUGAGUUAUUAACUGUUUAGAGACUGUAAGAACAUUGCACGUUUACACAGUUACACCUAUCCCCUCCAAUUUUGAAUUUUAUAUCCGUUAUGAAUGUGACCUAACCUAGAUCAAAUGUGUUAAAUGGGCUUUUAUAAUUUGAAAUAGUACAUUCGAAUGAUGAAUUGACAACAUUAAAUAUUAUACAUUAUGUCAUUUUAUUUUAAAUAUUUAGAAAUUAUUCCUCGAUCACCUCGUAAAUUGUUUCUCUGUCACCUCGUAUUUAUAAAAAAAAUCUUGCUUGAUUUUGUUGGCAUUACACUUUCUUUUCUUUUUCCUAAAAAAAAAACGAAUUUCAUUUCAACCAAAUAUCAACGUGCACACAAUAUGUAGGCUGGAAAACCCUCCAACCAAACCAAAUUUCUGAAUAUAAAUGUAAAAGCCAGCUUUGUUAAUAUAUGAGUAGAAUAAUGUUACCAAUUAACUUGGAUCAAAUCUGUGGAAAUGAUGAAUUGACCACAUUAAAUGUUGUGCUAGUAUUUUUUUUAUUUAUAGAAUUAUUAUAUUUAUUAUUGUUAUUAUUGUUGUAAUUGUUACAAUAUAUAAUAAUAAUAGUACUUGUAACAAUUCAUUUAAAUUUUUUGACAAAAUAAGUAUAUAAAUGAAAAUACAACUUAUUCUAAUUCUAAUUCCUUUAAUUUAAAUAAAUAACUUAUUUUAAUUUUGAUUAUCAUUUCUCAUUCUAACUGCAGCAUCAAUUGAUAAAUGCAAGAUAGAUAUCUGUGAUUGUAUUGGAUGCAAUGUAUGAAAGAGAAUUUUAGCCACUAUUUCAAGUUGAAAUAGUCCCCACCCUUUUAGAAUUAUACACUAUAUCAAUUCAAACUUCAAUUAAAUUUAUACCAAACUAAGCUUUUAUUUAAUGAUCUUUUAUCAGUUAUCAAUUACUUAUUGAGUUAAUAUUUAAUUUUUUUAAUUUAUAAGUAAUGUCAAUUUUAUGUUACUAUAACGACAUAGCAUAAUAAUAAAAUAUGGGUUUUUGUGUCCCUUUUUUAGAUUAACGAGGUCCACAGUAUAUUGUUACAAAACUUGGAGGUAUGGAAUAAUAAAAUAAUAACAUAUAGUGCAUGCGUAAUGUCUUAUUAUUCUCAGUGCCGAUGUUAGGAAUUCAAUCUAGUAGGGAUUAAGUUUAAAUAACAAUGUAAUUUAAAUUUGGUCAAUAAAUAAAAUAAAAAUAUAUUAAUAUAGUUAAUUUAAUAUAUUUAUAAUUGUCUUUGACAUGCUUUUAUAUGUUGAAAAUAUUGAAAAAUAAUCCCAUUAUCAAGAUUGCAAAAUAUAUCGUUUUCUAUGUAAACAAUUAAUUUCUCUCAUUCAAUUCGCUAAUGAUUUUUCACAAAAUUCUUUGCUGAAAAUGCUCUUUUUAUUAUAGUUAUGGCAACUGAUAAAAUCAAUAAUAACGUCAUCAAUAGAUAAAUUGACGAGUACAAUUUAUUCUUCUUAGUAUCAACUAUUUUUUUUACUAGUUCACUAAUCCGUUUAUUCCUGAAAAUUUGUUAUCAAAACCUACAUCUAUGAUGUAAACAUCGAGUUGAAUUUCAAGAGGCACAAGAUCCAUUGAAAUUAAAUUAAUUGGAUAAAACUCAAUAAAAUGAAUUGUUUCUGUUCUUUUAUAUAAGGAGAGUUAGGGUAAUAGGGAUGUCAAAAUAACAAUAUUUCUUUAUGAAUUGGAGGUGUAAAAACAAAUAUCUAAUAUUUUAAUUAUUUUUAAAUUUUAGCAAGUACUUUUAUAGUAAAUCAAAUUGAAAGUCUGUAGCUUUUGAAAAGUCAAAUAGGGACUUCAGCUACUCUGAGCGCCAGUGUACGGUACCACCGCUGAUUAUUCUUACUCAAUAACUACUGUUCACAAACUUAAAACCUUGCUUUUAAAAACUUGAUUAGGAUAAAAUCUUAUUCCGUAAAAUUACAUAUUUUUUUGUCUCACAAAUGCAAUACUCUAUGUUGGAUAACGGAUUUUUAUUUUGAUUUUUUUUAAUUUAAGACAAAAAAUUUCAUUUAAUUACUUUAAAACCGCCACUUUUUUUUUUUUGUAUAAAUAAUGCUAUAGGCUCCAGCGAUUUUGCACAUCUGACGAAAAAGUUUCAUUUUCCAAGUAAAAAAAAAAAAAAAGCUUCAGAAAUAUUCCCUCACAGUAAUAUUUCUGACAAAAAAAUCGGACAGAAGUUGUUGAACGAGGGAGAAAAUUUAGAAUAACAGCAGAUUUAGGAUACGAAGGAGAAGAUCCAGAGGAAGAUGAAGAUCGCGAGAAAGAUUAAUAUUAUCGAAUCAGCAAUUUACCAGAAACCAUUUGAGGUGAGAAAUAAAAAUUUGAAUUUUGAUGGUACCGAUUCCCGAUUUUGUUAGAUCAAUUUUUUUUUGUUUGUUUUUGGCGGUAGUGUUAUGGCCGUUGAUGGCACAACGACACAGGCGAUGAAUUUUUAUUUUUUAAUAAAUUAAAUAUUAAUUAAUUUUUGGUGUAACGGUAGUUUUGGAAAUUUAUUUUAUAUUAAAGGAUAUUUUGGUAUUUAAGUUAAAAGUUUUAAAAAAAUGACAUUUAUGCCCUCAAGGUUUGGUGAAAUGCUCAUAUUGAACCCGCAGAGGACACCAAGACUCCUUUUCUACUGUAAUAUCCUUUGGCUCCAGUAUCCUCAAAAAAUUGAUUCGAGUGUUUUAAAAGAAAUAAAAAUAUAAUGUUAAAAUAAAUAUAGUAAUAUAUACAUUUUAAAAUAAAAAUAUUUAAUCAUUAUAGAAUAUGUUAGAUAUAUUUUAUUAUAUUAAACUUAAUUUGAUAAUAAAUGGAAAUAUAAUUUAAAAUAAAUAUUUUAAAUUUUAAAUUAUUUUGAAUAUCAUAUAAAAUAAGUUAAUAUUAUUAAUAUGUGAGAUAUGUUGAAUUAAUAGUAAAAUCUAUUUAAGCUAAAGAUUUAUUUCAAAUAUUUUAAUAAAUAUAAAUAAAAUAUUUUUAUAUUUUUAAAUUAUUUUAUAUAUUAAAAAUAUUUUAAUAUUUAGGCAAAGUAAAUUAAUAAAUAUUAUAUUUGCAUUUAUUAAAAAAUUUAAGGCUAAUUUUUUUUUAGCUAUCAUAUUCAAAGUAUAUUAAAAUAAAAAAAAGAUUUUAUGUCCCUCAUUAAAAACUUGAGAGUUUGUUUGAUUAUUUUCUCAAAUCUUAGAGGUGUAGCUAUCUUUUUUCCAAAAUUUUAUUAUCAAAUAAUCAAAUUUCUAAAAGUUGUUGCAUUUUUUUUUAUAGAAGUUAUAAUUAGCUUAGCUGCUUUUAAGAAUCUACAAAAUCUAAUUACUUGAAAAUCAAAUUAUUUAAUAAUCACUUUUGAAUUGAAUUUAACAACACUCUUUGGAUGCUCGUUGUCGAAGCAUGUCUUUACCUGGCCUGGUGCUCACCCUACACAGCCGAAAGGCAAGGCCUGUUUGGAAAGUUAGACUAUGAAGGAAAUUAAUUGAUAGAUAGUAUUUGAUUAAUUUCAUCUAUUUUGUAUUUAGGCUCCGUUUGAUACAAUUUUUUAAAUAGAGCUUAUUUAAUUAGAGUUUUAAUUUGUUAGUAGAGCUUUUGUAAAUAGAACUUUUACUAUAAAAAAAGUUUAAUUGUUUGGUUGUCAAUAAGAGUUUUUAUUAAAAAUUUAUGAAAUUACUUUAAUAGGUAAAUUUUUUAAAGUUAUAUUAUGAAAAUAAUAAAUAAGAUUGUUAAAUAAGUAGAGAAUAUUUUAGAUGUUUUGAUAUUUAAAAAAAAAAUUAACCUCUAAUUUGAGCUUUUGCUAGCAGAGUUAAGAGUUAAAUAACUUCUUUAAGUUUCAAAAUCUCUAUUAGAAAAAUAAUCAAAUAACAACAAAAAUUAUAAUAAGAACUUAUAGGAUUAAAUAAAUACUUAUGAACAUUAAAUAAGUCAUACCAAAUAAACACUUAUUAGUUGGGGCUUUUAACUUAUUUUCUCAAAUUUCAAAUUCCGGAAGAAGAAUAGGCUUCUCAAAAGGAACUUCCAAUUAGGGCUUUUAACGCAGAACCCGAAGCAAGAUAUUUGUUUAGGAAAGGUCAGUAGUAAUUAUAUGUUGGGUUUUUAAACAAUUGAAGAGGAGGCUGCAAGGAGAAAUUUUUGAAUGCACAGAAGAUAUUAUGUCGGCCAUAUGAGAAUAAUCAGAUGAAGAUGAAGAGACGACAGCAGCCGGAGUUCAUGACUUGGUUUCUCUUAAUACAGUUAAUCUGCUCCAAGGAAACUGUCCUGUACGUUUUAUACACACAUUUCAAAAUUUUUGUUAUCAGCAUAAUCUAAUAGGGUCAUAACCAUUUAAAAUCUAUUAAUUAAAAGAUAUAUUAAAUAAUCGAUAAAUUAAUAAUUUAUUAAUUUACAGAGUUAUUUACAACUCAGUUAAUAUACAUUUAAUUACACAUUCAAUGCACUUUACCGAUAUUGAAUAUGAAUUAAACUAUACAUUCAAUUAACCAAAAUAGUAAAUUCAUUGUACUUUUCUACUUAACUAAAUAAUAUUCAUGUUACAUUAACUUAAUUAAAUGCAUUCAAUGAAUUAGAUUAAAAAUAAUUUAAUUCAUAUUAUUCAAUGUAUUUAACUAAUCAUUUAACCAAAAAAUAAAUGCAUUGUAAUUAUCUAUGUAGUUAAUUAAAUAAUAUUCAUGUUAAUUAACUUAAUUAAAUGGUGUUCAAUGAAUUUGAUUAAAAAUAAUCUUUAUGUAAAUAAACAUUAAGUCUUCUCUUAUCUUAUAUUAAAUUACUUGAACAUUUACAAUUACUUCUCAUUUGAAAGGUGUUCAAAAAUCAACCAUGACAGAUGAGAUUCCUAAAGCAUUAUGCUAGUAUAGUAAAGAGCACUCCAUAUGCAAGCAGAAAAGAAUUGCAACAAUGGUUUUUAAAAAUUUUCACUUAAAAUUAGUCAAGGAACAAUGUCAAAUACACUUAAACUAUCAUCAAAAUAUCUUUGGAUUGACUUAGCAAAGGGUGGUCAUGCUAAGCGGCACAAACCAUCAAAAUUUUCAAACAUGGAGAAGAUUGUUUAUGAAUGGUUUCUUGAAUACUAAGAUUGUGAAUAUAACAGGAGAACUAAUCUUAGAAAAGGCAAGAGAGACUAUGAAAAUAUUAAACCCUAAAGAGACUUUAGAAUUCAACUUUUCUCUGGGUUGGCUUGAGAAGUUCAAGUUAGACAUGGUAUUAAGUCAUUUUGUUGUUUUGGGGAAAGUGGAUCAAUUGAUACACAAGACAUGGAGAACCAAUUGGAGUCCAUAAGAGGAAAAAUAGAUUAGUUUGCCACGAAAGAGGUUUUCAAAAUGGAUAAAACAUUAUUGUUUCAUAGGUUACAAGCAGAUCACUCUCUGGAAACAAAAGAAAGCAAGACAAAGAAAUGAUUACAGUAAUCUACUGUAAUAAGGAUGGCUUAGAAAAAAAUUCCUCUGUGGAUCAUUGGAAAGUAUGCGAAACACGUUGCCUCAAAAUGUAAAACAUGAAGAGGUUCAAUUGUCAAUACCGAGCCAACAAAAGAUCAUAGACGACUAAGGUGCUUUUUGGGGAAUAUGUUCGAUGGCUUGACAGAAAAAUGCAAGGGACAAAAAUUCUCCUGGUGAUAGAUAAUUGUCCAGCCCAUACAAAAACUAUUGAAGGAUUACAAAAUAUUGAGCUAUUUUAUUUGCCACCUAACAUGGCAUCAAAAAUCUAAUCAUGUGAUGCAGGGAUAAUAAAGCUUUCAAGAUGCAUUAUCGUCGCCGACUUUACUUAAAAUUUAAUUGCUUAUUUCUUAAUAGAGAUUAUUAAUUUAUAGAGGUUUUACUUAUUUUACACACAGAAGGAUUUGAAGGAAAUGCACAUAUGACCAAGGACGAAUAUUUGGCCAAUCUUAGACGGGCGCAAGCUUUUUUAUUACAUGUACAGGAAAUAAAACUACCGGUAAAAUCUUCUCGACGUUUAUUAUAUAUGUAUCUGUAUGCAUUUAUUGGUUAUGGCUAAUUAAUUUGGUCAAGUUUCAGAAAAAUUAUAGGCUUCUCGAAAGGAAUCAGAGUGGAUUCUCUAGGUCAUUGAAUUUUGAGAUAGACUGAUAUUCCACUUAAUCUCUGUCUGUAUCUUCGGCUUGAUAAAGUAUUCUGUAUCUCUGUGUCGUACAUAAAAUAAUUAAGGCUUUUGGCACAGCAACCCAGACUAUAAGAAAUGGCAAGCAUGGAUGGGACAAUAAAAUAGAGGAAACAAAGCAAUCUUACUAAAGCAAGGCCUGUUCCAGGCUUAGUUUUCAAUGAUAUUGCGCUAGAUAUCGAGCCAGCUGCAAUGCAUUACCGAUAUCUUGCCGAUGUACGAAAGAAUAUCAUGAUGAUAAACGCCAUUUAAAAACACAACAAUUUUCAAUUAAUUGUAAGGAUUUUGACUCCUGGCAAGCUGCAAUAAUUAGUUAACUAAUUCGAAGAGUUUGUUUCACAAUUAACUAGGGUAAUUUUCGGAUACCUCCCCUGAGGUUUACCCCUGCUACACUUAGAGAGAAAGUAUGAAUAUAUUGACAUAUAGCACCCCUGACGUAUAUAAGCGUUAGGGAGCCGUUUGGUUUGAAAGGGUGAUAACGUAAUUGUAAAAUUUUACAAUUUUUAAAUGGUUAAGAAACAGUAAACUUAUUAAACUAAACACUUGCAUCCUGCACAUGUUGGGAAAAUAUGCUCUUUAAAAGCAUAUGUGUUUAUUUAAUUGUAAUAAACUAUUUUUCUGAUUAAUAAAAUAAAUGAGGUAUUUUAUUCAAAUAUCUUAAUUGCAUUAAUACUUGUAUUAAAGUCUAUUUAAUCAUAUUAUAUGUAUUUAUGUGAUCACCAUGUGGAUUCACAGAAGACAUAAAUACAAGUUAUCUUAUGAUUAAAUAAAUUUAGUUCGCAGUUGAUAAAUAAAGUUGGGCACUUUAUUUAGGUAUAGACUGUAAUAAAUUCAUUGAAUGAUUUGUCUUAAUCAUGUAUGAAUUUAUUGAUGUAGUACGACUACAUUGAACAGGAUCACAUAUGAGAUUUAAUUAACUUUGUAAUAACUGUCAGACUUAUUAAAUCUCAUAGGCGUUGAUUUUACUGUAAUCUUAAUCUUGAGUUAAUUAUGAUUUCAUGAUUGUAAUUGUUAUUCCAUUUGAGUUACCAAUGGGCACGACACAUCCUUGUGGUCAAGAUUACCCGGUAUCUUGGUGGGAGCAAUUAUGAGUAUUGGAGUUAUGGAUUAACAAUAUAGAAUUUGUACAACACAUCUCUUGAUGGGUUUUCGGCACUUGAUCAUAGAAUUCUCUGGCCAGAGUGUGUCAACAUAUUUAGUAUGUUGAAAAUGAUCAUUAGAGAAAACCAGUAAGGAUCAAGGAAUAAGAUGUUAUUAAAUUGAUUGGACAGUUGAGAUAUCAAUUUAAUUAACGAUGUGGUACAAAGGAUUGUACAGUAAAGAAAUCAAUGUGGCUUGAGACGAAUUAUUAUUCGAGCAUACAAUUAUGGAAGUCAGUUCCAAUCUUUUAGUGGAGUAGAUUUGGAAUUAAAUAAUUGGGCUAGUUUAAUUACAGGCCUAAUUAUUGUAGCCACUAUUGUAUGUUCCCAAAUGAUCCCCGGGUUAGCUCAUUUAAUUGACUGCACCACUACUGGACUAAUAAGUAAGAUAACUAGCUAUUUGGGUCAAAAGCCUAAAUAUAUCAUUUAGUGGGAGGCUCCAUUUAAUUAACUUUUGUAUAAGGGGCCUUAUGUUAUUUUACAAGGUGGGUCCCCUAUUGAAAAAGAAAAUAACGUGAGUUUUAUUUAGGGCAUUAUUUGGAGCCUAGGGUUUUCACUAAAGGGAGAUAUAUAAGGCUUAUUUUCUCUAAAGAAAAAAGGAAGCCACUUUAUACAAAUCGGAGAAUAAGAUUUUUCUCUCUAUUGUUGAGAGAAAAAUUUUCUCGUGCUAGUUGCUUUGGUAGUGAUAACGGCGCCCACACGUCAAGUGCAGAUCGAACCUGCGUCAUAACCUGGAAGAUCAUUGGUGACAGUUCGUGAUCUAACAAGCGUGGUGGUGACGGAUCGUGAUCUAACAGGAGUGGUGGUGGCGGAUCGUGAUCUAGGAGCCUAAAUCACUUCAGCGGAAAAAGCCAACUCGGAUUUUCAAGGUACGAUUUCUAGAAUACGAAUUCUUAUAUAUUAUAUGAGAGCGAUCUUCAAAAGGUUUUAUAAAAAUUUAAAAACCUGAUUUUUCCCCAACAGCACAAUGGCUGCUGAACGAAAGCAUUGUACAUACAGAAUGCACAGUGACAAAGCAUGGAACACAAUGAAAACCAAGGGGAUGGCGACCCAUCUCUACUUCUUCUCAUGGGUUGAGGCGACCCAUCUCUACUUCUUCUCAUGGGUUGACUUUCAUUCCCAUAUAAUACCCACUGGUUUCAACUUAUAUGAACUUAAAAGAUACAGUGAGAAAAAUUCUCUGAGAUUAAGCAUGUCAAAAACUAAAUUUCGGCCACAACCGGCAUCUGAGCAGUCAAUCAAUGAAGAACGCACCAGGUGUGUAUUUCCAUAAAAUCUUUAAGCUUAAUUUUGGUUUAAUUUAUUCUGGGAUUCUGUUCAAUAGGCUGCUAGUUUAGUUGACUAGUGAGCUUUUCUGUUACGAGUUCAAUUCUUAUUUGGAUGGUGCAUGUGCUAAUGUAGAAGAUCCCGUAAUUGUUUAGAACUUGUAUAAGAGGUUUAGGCUUUGUCAUGAGAGAAGGUAAAAUUAAAAUUGGCAAGGCCUGGGCUGGAACUCAGAGAUAUUAUUCCAUCAUUUCUUUCGGCAAGCAUAGAGUAGAUAUUUUGGGUACAAUGUUGGGAGGUUUUCUUUCUGGUUAAUGCUUGUUCUUUCGAACUGUAAGAAAUAAUGAUAAUUGGAAUAAGUUUUUAUGAGUACACAAUCAGAAUAUGUGGUUCAUAUGGCUGGUACAAAGAGCUUCACAAGGCUAGAAUGUAAUACUUGCGACUAGCCAAGGUCUGUGGUUCAUAUGCCAGUUUCAGGAACUUGCUGCAAUUGGCAAAAUUGAAAGGAUUGCUUAUUGCAUUUUUUAUAUUCUUGUUUGAUUUUAGGAAUUUAACACUGUAUCAUAAGCAAAGUUACUGAGAUUUACACAUUUGUAUAUGCCCAAUAUGCCCAAAUACUAAUAAUAAUAGCAUUAAUUCACUAAUCAGUUAUGUAAUAUCAGAGCUUAGCAUUCUGUGAACUACUAUUAUCCAUAUAUUUUUGUAAAGACUAGUUAUUUUUGUCAUUGUUUAUGCAGCUUGCUAUACUUUGACAUUGAGGCAGUGAUAGAUGGUGAAGUUUUUUUCUGUUGGUUUAGCUAUUCCAGAGCAGUAUAGCUUGCACAAACUAUGGGUUGAUAUCAGGGAUGCUUGUUGGGGUCAUCCUAUUAGGAAUGCAAAUGGGAUAAAGGUUCAAGUAAUAUUUCCUUCGUAGACUGAGUAGCAAGCAAUUUUGACUGACAAAGACUUGUUAGAGGCAUUUGAACAACUUAGAGUAAAGGGGUGCAAUUGGGCUAGGUUUGCAGUGACUCCUAAGAAAGUGCUUCCAGAUAUGAAUAGGGUUGAAAGUUCAGCAGAUAAGUGCACUCAGCAAUUGAAUAAUGAUGUGGAAAGUGGAAAUGAAGAGUUGUAUAAUUGUUAUAACGCAUCUAUAGAUGAAUUUGAAGAUGAUUAUGAGACUGAUCCACAUGGUUCUGAUCUGGUUGGUUCUAAUCCAGAUGAUUAUAAAGAGGAUUAUGAGACUGAUCCACCUGGUAAUGAUCUUGAUGACUAUGAAUCUGGGGAUGACAGUGGAGGUGAGUCAGAUGAUGAUGUUGUCCAAGAACAAACUUGCAUUAAAUAUGAAAAAAAUACAGGUGGCUUUCAGUUUAAUUCUGUUGGUGAUGAGAUAUUGUUAAAGCUUGGACAGCUGUUUGUCAAUGUGUGGGAGUUCAGAAAAGUGUUGAAGGUAUUUGCAAUUAGAAAUGGAUUCAGACUGAAAAGGUUGAAGAAUGAAAAAACAAGGGUGACAUGUGUGUGUGCUGCACCAAAUUGCACUUGGAGAAUCCACACAAGCCCUAAUUGGAACAUGAGAUCAUUUCAGAUUAAAACCUACUGCCCUAAGCACACUUGUCCUAGAGUUGAUGACAAUUAUAAGGCAACUUCAGAUUGGAUAGCAGCCACAUAUCUACAUAUUUCAAGGCCAAUCCUGAAAUCAAGAUUUAUGUUAUUGCUGCUGCUUUGAUGCAGAGAUAUGGAAUUGAAUGCAAUAAUCAGAGGUUGUACAGGGCCAAAAGGAAAGCACUUGAGUCACUUGGUGAAGACCAUAAGACCAGUUAUAGUAAAUUAUUUAGGUACAUGCAUGCUUUGUUAAAUUCCAAUCCUGGUUCCACUGUCUCUAUUGAAAGGGAUUGGAUUGGUGGUGAAUUUCCCACAUUCAAGAGGUUUUUCUUCUGUAUUGACAGUAGUAGAAGGGGAUUUUUUUAAGGGUGCAGGCCAUUCAUUGGGGUUUAUGGCUGUCACUUAAAAGGACCGUAUAAAGGUGUACUCCUUACCGCUGUCAGCAUUGAUGCAAACUAUGGAAUUUAUCAUUUGGCUAUGUGUGUGGUUGACAGUGAGAAUAAUGAGUCUUGGCUGUAUUUUUUGGAAAAAUUAUAUGAUCAAAUCGGCUGUAAUGGUGGUGAAGGUUUAUGCUUCAUGAGUGAUAGGAAAAAAGGUAUCCUCAAUGCAUUAGAAAGAGUAUUUCCUCUGUCGUUCAAGAGGUAUUGCUGUAGACAUAUCUAUGCAAACUUCAAGAACAAGUUUCCUGGGUUGUUAUUGAAAAAAGUUUCCUGGAGGGCCUGUAGGAGUUCUAGUGCUGCUGACUUUCAUUCCCAUAUGGAAGAAUUGAAGAAUAUAACUCCCGAUGGUUAUGAAUGGCUAAUGAAAAUUCCCAUUGCAUGUUGGGCAAAGCAUUUGUUCUCUCCACACACAAAAUGCAGUCAUGUCACUAAUAACUUAACUGAAUCUUUUAAUAAUUGGAUUAACAACUACAGAGGUUUGCCAAUUGUGAGGAUGUUUGAGGAGAUACGAACGAAAAUUAUGCGCUUAAUUCACAAAAGGCAUGAGGCAGCCCUUUGAUGGAAUGAUGAGCUACCGCUAGUUGUAAGAAGAAAGAUAGUUGAGGGAAGACAAGCAGCAAGAUCAUUGUAUAUUAUUUUUGGGCAUAAUGAAACUUUCGAGGUAGUUGAAGAUGCGACAAAGAUUAUUGUCGUUGAUUUGCCGAAAAAGAAUUGUGACUGUGGUGAAUGGGGAAUAUCUGGACUUCCUUACAAACAUGCCAUUUGUUGCAUAGAUGCAAAGAGAUACCCUAUAGAAGACUUUAUACAUCUAUAUUUGAAAAAAAUAGCUUUUAUUGGGACAUACAAACAUCAGUUUACACCAGUUCCAGAUGAAAAAAAGUGGCCACUUGAACUUCACGACAAUUUGCAGCCACCUACAGCCAUAAGAUCAGCUGGCAGACCUCAAGCUAAAAGGAGGAAAUAAGUAGAUGAAUCUUCAACAUUUAAGCGAAGUUCAAGUUUGAGGUGCUCUCAUUGUCACCAGUAGGGACAUAACAAGAGGACUUGCCCAAGGGCAACUCGUGAUAAUGAGAAGAAAAGGGCUAAGAAAAGGGUUAAGGGCAAGGUAAAACAAAUGUAUUGAAAUUAUUCUUAAUGAAAACUGCUGCAAACACAUGAUUUAUGAACUAAUCACUAAUUUUCAUUUUCUAGGCACCAAUUAGUAAGACCAACUCACAGGAUUUAGGCAAUCCAUCUAGCCAAACGCAGUCAUCUGCCCAUGAUAAUGGUAAUAAUGAUUUUGGAAACAUUUCAAGUUACAUAAUAUUCUUAAUUUUGUGGUUUUUAUACUGAAUAUGCAAUAUGCUUGCAGGGCAUUUGACUCAAGAAUGAUUACUAAAGUUAAAGCAUCCAGCAGAUUCAAGAACAUAGAGCUAAAAGUAUGUGACAAGACAGAGCACAUAUACAACCCUAUACUCUAUUUUUUUAAGGGGAUUAGAUUAUGCAACACCUUUGAAGUUUCCAGAGCAUCAAUAGAUGGUGUAUCAUCUGUUACUCACCUAACAUAUAGGUUUGAGUUCUUUUGAUUUAUAUUUUGCUGAAACGUAGAGACUUUCAUACUGCCAAAAAUAGGUCAUAUAUGACUGUCUUGGCUUAGUUACAUGAAACUAUGAUGAGAGAUAUAACUAUAUAUAUUUAUAUGCUGUGCUUUUGUCAUUUGUAAAGGCUCGGUGUGUUGUAGCCAAAAAAUGAAUGUUCAAACUGAGUUUCUUCUGGAAUGCCAAUUAUCCAUAUGGCCAUGCUUUGUGGUUUCAUAUUAUAUAUUAUGCUUUGAUUUAAAUUUAUUGUGGUUGCUUGUUGUUUUAAUGUUUUGAUGAUAUUGAGAUGGAGUUAAGUGAGCUUGGAGUUGAAUAAACUUGAAUGAGAUAAUGAGCAACUGAUUAAAGCUUGUACUGUUCUAAAUGUCUCAUGUCAUGUUGUUUCCUGGAAAGCUGUAAAAUAUCUCUCCCUUCCAAUUUCUUUUUGGUGGCUGGUAGCGGCUGUCAAUGUUGCAUAAUGCCUACUUUGCAGCUAAAAUUACACCCACUAUUAAAACUAUAAUAGCACAAAUGAAAAAGAACAUGGUCAGGAAACAUAUUUUCAUACCACUGCAUUUCACCAUUGUUUUAUGUGUUUUUUGCAUCAGCAACUUCAAAUCUGUCAACUCUUUUUGCAUGUUCAGCAGCAACUCAUAAUUUCCUUGACAUGUUCUUACACCUUCAAGUAUUUCACCUUUGUUGAAAUCAUUAGGGGAUGCCAUCCAGAACUUGAAGUAGCCGCAGCCAUGUCUGUUGUCCAUACAGCAAUAAUAUAGCUUGUUUGGGUUGUCAUCCGAUUCCGAAAUCUUCACACUUGCUCUUCUGUUGCACUUACAUAUCUUAUUUGCAAAUUGAAUGAGGUUGCCAUUAAUCUCAUCCCUCCAUCCUCUGCAUUCACGGCUGCUGGAUCUUGUUGUUUGUUGUGAGCUUGCUGAAUCCAUAACAAGCAUUAGAUAGUGGUGAAUCUUGGCAAAAAGUGAGUGUUAUUUGCUCUUAAAUACAGCUCAAGAAGGCUGAUAUUACCGUUGGGUUGUUCUAACGGUAAUAUCAGCCUUGCUUUGUUGCUUUUAAAUUGUUGAAGCCUUGCUUUGUUGCUUUUAAAUUGUUGAAAUGUAAGUCAUUCAGCAACUGUAAAUACAUUUUUUGAAGGGUAUCUUAGCAUUUCCAGCAAUCACAUGAAUUUUGUCUCAUUGACAUUUGUUUAUUGUCAAAUUAAGUUAUUAUAAGAGUCUAAUAUGAGCCUUGUCUUUGUUCUUAUGUACUUGGCGCCAAGAAGCAAGGGAUGAUUUGACAACUCUGUAAGGUAAGACCAAUUGCCAGUUCUUGCACUGUAGAAUGAAGGGCAUUAUUGAAUUUUUAUUGUCAAACCAAAUGGCUCCCUAACGCUUAUAUACGUUCAGGGGUGCUAUAUGUCAAUAUAUUCAUACUUUCUCUCUAAGUGUAGCAGGGAUAAACCUCAGGGGAAGUAUCCAAAAAUUACCCCAAUUAACUACGUCCACUCUUUUUUCUUUCUUUAUUUUUUUUGGAGAAAGAAAGAAGAGCAAAAUUGAUUAAAAUAAUACAGACAAUAUCUCACAAUUAUAAUUUUUCUUUAUUGACGGACUAACUCAAUUAGCACAUUAACACACGAUAGUUUCUUUUUUUAUUAUUAACCAAGAGAAAGUAUAUGGACAGCUGAUAAAAAUACAAUCCAUUCAAGAUUACAAUUAUAGUUCAUUCAGAUUUCAUACGUGCUUUCAUAUUAUGGAAAUACACUCUAGCUAUUUCAAUAUCACAUCACGUGAUUCUCAUAUCAGUGUUGCAAUAAUACAAUCUGGAGACAAUAUGAUAUUUUAUGUUGUCGAAAUGAUUAUUUGUGACAUUAUUAUUACCAAAACAAAUGAUUUUCACAAAAUAACAGCACUUCAAGUUGUAGCUUUGUUAUGUUUCUAAAUCAGCUGUAGCUGCUAUUAAAAAAAAAUCUACAUUUCUCAAAUAGUAUUUUAAUUUUGUACACCUGAGAUUAGGUAAUAUUCAUCCAUUUGAUAUUGGUAUAGGCCAAUAAGUAAAUCCCCAAGGUAUAAAUUAAGUUGAUGUAUAUACAUAAUAUUCAAUAAAUAAAUGUCACUUCACAUAAAUACUUAGAAAUUAUCCAAUAAAUAAAUGUCAUUUCACAUAAAUUCUUAGAAACUGUUCUCAUAUUUGUUAGAAGGGUGGGAGUAUUUGCACUCAAUCAAAUUCUUCAAGCACUAUUUAUUUUAAAAAUAUUUUUAUUACAAAAAUAUCCUUUCAUGAAAUAACUAAAAAGAACAUAAUUACUUUUAAAAAAAAAUUUACACACCCAUUUGUUAUAAACCCUAAAUCUUUACUUUCUUUAACAAUUCAUCAUCUGAGGCUCAUGAAAAAGAUACAAAACUGAAGUUGUAAAUUCAUGGUUGGUGUAUGGAUCUAAACCUCAAUGCUUUUACCAAUGCGUUUAUUUUACAUCUCACCAAUCACAUUAAUUUAGAAAAAAUAGAUUCGUUAAGUUAUAACUUAAAAUUCAUCAAUGUAUAACUUAAAAUUCAUCAAUGAAAAUUCAAUCAGCAAGAAUGAAUAUUCAUAAAGGGAAAAAGCUAAACAUUCAUGAAAGGGAUAAACAAUUGCUGCAACUCUUGGCUAUCGUGUAAGUUACUCAUAUUUUUUUUAACAAAAACUGUUAUCAAUUAAUAAUACACCUAUAAAGCCACAAAAUUUGAAGUAGUCGUGACCUCUUUCUCCAAAUCUUAUCUUCUACGUUUAUUUUAAGAAAGCAAAGCCAAGAGAAAAAAAACAAAGAGAACAAAGAAGAAGAAGAAGAAUGCUGUGGGUGUUGAAAAAAAUAAUCAUGGUUAUUUUUUAAAUUUAACCAAGUGUGCAUGAUAAAUAUUUAAUUUUUAAUUUUUACAUUUGAGUGUUAAGAGUAAUUAAGUGUACAGAGUAAGUUUUAGAGUGGAAAUAACCUUACUAACGUCAAAAUCAAACAACUCAACCGUUUGAAAAUGGCCGUUGAAUAUUAGUUUGUAAAUUAAUUGAAUUAAACGUGAGAAAUUGCUUUUGCAGCAAAAGCUUAAUUAAUCCAACCCCUUUGUUACUUCUACAUAUAUUUGCAUUAUUUAUUCUUUCUUUUGAUUCCUGUUCAUAAAUUAAGCGAUAUUUUAUAAUAACAGAGACCAUGAUCAGUAGCAAUGUGUCAAGCAAGAAUGCUAAGAUCACAAGGCUUUUUCAUCAGUAUACAAUUCUUUUAAGCACAUUACAACCUCUUCCGUUAUCUGAAAUGUUCGGGUUGAUCAUUACAAUUUUUCAUCAGCUCUGCCAAGAGCAGUCCCUGCAAAUCAAAAGUAACAUGUUCUCGAGUUUCGUUGAAGGCAAGUUAAGCUAAUUCAUCAGAACUUGUGACAUUAAUUUUAAAUGACUUUGUUGAGACUCCAAAAGGAUUGGGCAAUUUUUUCAAGAUUGGCCGCAAGUUAAAGACAUGCAUGGUGGCCUGGAUGGUAGUCAAAUGCUUAGUAUCUUCACGUCAAAGAAAUCUAAGCAAUGUAGUGAAGAAAUAGCUUCUAAUCAGAACAGUGGAACUACAUGGUUGAAAAUCAAUCGUAGACAGCACUAUAUGUAAAACAACAGUUUGUUUUUUUUUCCUUUUUUUUUUUUCUUAAGAUAAGAAUGGAUGGAGCCUAAAUAUAAGUCUUAACACUAACUUCUUCAUAAGUUGAACUCAAGUUUUGGAAUUAUUAUUAUUAUUAAUUGAUGCACCUACUGAACUUCGAAUCUAUAGAAGACCUACUUCUUAGAAAGGCCGCUUCUUACCAUUGAUGUUAGACCUUGGCUUCGAGUUGAACUAAAUUUAGUAGCCAAAGAGACCGGUUGAUGGGUCACUUUCAUUUGAUAGGUGUUCCAACGCAAAGCCAAUUAUUCUAUGCUCUCAAAUUUCGUAUUGACGAUGUUGUCACUAUCAAAUUAUACUAAUAUUCCCACUAAAUAAACAACACUUGAAGUUCAACUUCUAUUAUCAUUUCAAAAUAAGAUUUAAUUAUUUUUAGAUAUAUGAACAAUAUAAGAUUAAAUUUUCUUUAUUUAAAAUUAUGAUUUAAUUUUUCAUUUAUUGAAUAUAUUCAAUACAAUAAUGUGAAAAAUAAAUAUAUUCUCAUCCAUCUUAUUAUUGUAUUCGAUGAAUGCACUAGACAAAAACUUAAGUCAUAAUUUUAUGUUGAGGAACCAUCAUCCAUUAUAUAAAGAUUAUAUAGUAUUGAACUGUACUAUGCCUAAAAAUCUGCAAAAGUGGUCUCCACAUUCUUUUUUUUUUUUUUUUAAUACUAGUUGUGCACCAGAUUAAUGCAUUGCACAAAUAUUUACAAUUGUUAUAUAGCAGAUAUUAAACUGAUAUUUACAAUCAGAUAUACAUAACUGAAACUUACAUUAUUAUAUUAAAUUCUAUUAAGUACAUGCCUAGCAGACAAAUAACCCUCACAGACGAGUGAUAUCUUUACUCUACUCGCAUUUCGCAAGAAAAAAGAACUUAUAAAUAUUUAACCCCACAAUACUUUUGUGAGGACUUGAACCGCUGCCCUCACGCUUGUGAGAGCAGCAUGGCCACAUUCUUCAAACCGGAAAAGAACUUUGCUUUCUGGCCAACCGUAACCAAAAUUAAUUAUAUGGGAUAAUGUCUAUAUCUAUACAUAUAGAAACAAGUAGCAGACAGUGCGGGCGUGGGUGAUUGACGCUGCAAAACGAACAAAUAAUCAUGUAUUUCAGUUUAAAAAUUUACUACCGUACUGCAUAUAAUAAAUCAACAGAGAGACUUUUUGCCGCUAUUUAAAGUUAAAAAAUUCAAGUAAGAAGACUCCACUUACUUUGAGUAAUAUCGAGAAUCACAAUAUUUGAGUCAUAAUUUCAGUCUUAAACAUUAUAUGUCAUUUAUCAAUUGGAUAAAUUGAUUCUUUUAAAAUUUUAUUGAUUUUCCACAUGUAUCACUUUUUAAUGAAACCUUUUAAUGCUAAACUACAUUGGGUAAUUUUUAAAAACCUCCUCUGAGGUUUGAGGCUGUUGCAAAUAGAUGGUGAAAAUCAUUUUAGUUGUCAAAGACCCCCUACCGUCAAUUAAAAUUUUCAUUGACUAACUGUUGACUUUGAAAAGAUAAUAUUACCCCCAAUAAUAGUUUAUAGACCGACACAACUAAAGUACAAGGGCUGAAACUUAUGAUGCGUAAACCACUGACUUUAUUUUUUUGACAUUUUCGCCCUUUACAAUUCCAAAUAUUUACAAUUUUAUAAGUAAUUAAAACAAUUAUUUUCACCAUGAUUAAGUUAUUGAUAUUUCCUUAAAAUCUUAAAAAAAAUAAAAUUACAAAUCUUAAAAUUUAUAAAAAAUAUGCUACUGUUUUUCUAUUAAAUUUUCUGCUGUUUCUCGCUAAAUUCGCUGUUAUUUUGUGUAUGGCGCUUGCCGGAAAACGGUCACGAUACAUUUUGAAUGGGUAAUGACGGGGAUUGAUAGUAAAAGUUUGUAUUUCUUAAAUUUUUUCCAUUUGACAACUCACUAAUUCAUGUGUAGGUCUAUUUAAAAUUUGUUCUUGUUUAUGGAGCUUGUUGGAAAAUGGUCAUGAUGCAUUUUGAAUGGGUAAUGAUGGGGAUGGGCAGUAAAAGUUGCUUGUGUUAUUUGAGCUUCCAGAAUCCAUUAAGAGUAGAGGGGAAGAAGAAAUGCAAAUUGUUUGUGUGUGUGCCGCUUGUGAGCCUUAAAUUAAUGUGCAAGCCAAUGGUCAUAUUGCAAAACAAUUAUAUAUAUUUUUUAAGUUUGUAAUUUUAUUUUUUUUAAGAUUUUAAGGAAAUAUCAAUAACUUGAUCAUGGUGAAAAUAAUUGUUUUAAUUACUUAUGAAAUUGUAAAUAUUUGGAAUUGUAAAGGGCAAAAAUGUAAAAAAAAUAAAGUCAGUGGUUUACGCAUCAUAAGUUUCAGCCCUUGUACUUUAGUUGUGUCGGUCUAUAAACUAUUAUUGGGGAUAAUAUUGUCUUUUCAAAGUCAACAGUUAGUCAAUGGAAAUUUUAACUGACGGUAGGGGGUCUUUUACAAAUAAAAUGAUUUUCGCCAUCUACUUGCAACAGCCUCAAACCUCAAGGGAGGUUUUUAAAAAUUACCCAAACUAGAUUACAUUGUUAAAUUUUAAUGCAGAGAAUUAGAAUAUCCUUUCAUAGUCAUAAUACCAAAAUGCAAAAAAGUAAGGUUCUCCAGCUUUUAGAUUUUUAUGUCUUUGCACAUCAUCAACCUACAAUAAAUAUUUUUUAUGUUGAGUGUCGUAUCAUUUUAUUUGACAAUUAUGAUAGUUCAAAUUUUCUAAAAAAUUCAAAUAUAGUUCAAAUUAAUUGUCAGAUUCUUAAAAAUUCUAAUACCUUUUCUUCUUGUCAGAGUUGAUAUCAUACUGAGUUAAGAUAAGAUUUAUUUUUUAAUAUAUAGUUAAAGUCAAUUUUGUAUUACUAUAAACGUAUAAUGGUAAAACAUAGGUGUUUUUUGUCCAUUUUGUAAAUCAAGGAGGUCUACAAUUUUUUUUUUGGUUGGGGGCGGGGAAUCUAGGAGGUUUAAUUUUAGAUUAUCCUCUGAAUUGAUAAUCUUUAAAAUAACUCUCAAAUUAUUAUAAAACUCAAUCUACGUCUUGUUUUUGUAAAGAAGACAAAAAAUUUCAUUAAUUCACCCAGUUUUUCUUUAUCUAUUGAAUAAAAAUAGGAUAAAUUAAAGUUUGCAAUAGCUUAGAGAGAAUCUUGAAAAUUGUCAUUUCAUGAGGGGAGUAAUCCGAAAUUUAUCCAUAUAGGUGUAAUGAAAGAACGAUAUAUAAUGCUUGCGUUUGAGUUAUUAAACAUAGGUGUUUUGUGUCCAUUUUGUAAAUCAAGGAGGUCUAAUUUUUUUUUGGGGGGGGGGGGAUCUAGGAGGUAUAUAAGAAGAUUUAAUCUUGGAUUAUCUAGUGAAUUGAUAAUCUUCAAAAUAACCCUCAAAUUAUUGUAAACCUCAAUCUACCUCUUGUUUUUGUAGAGUAGACAAAAAACUUCAUUAAUUUGCCCCAUUUUCUUUAUCUUUUGAAUAAAAAUGGAAUACGUUAAAGUUUGCAAUAGCUUAAAGAGUAUCUUCAAGAUUGUCAUUUAAUGAGGGGAGAAAUCCAAAAUUUAUCCAUAUAGGUGUAAUGAAAGAACGAUAUAUAAUGCUUGUGUUUGGAUUAUUAUUCUAGUGAAAACUCUCUAAAGUAAUACUCUCUAUAAAAAUAACUCUUAUAUAGUCAUAAAAAAUUAUGAUCCCAAUUUGGACUAAUUGUAAAUAGGAAUAAAUUUUAUAUUGUAAUAAGUUAUAAGUUUUAUAUAUUUUUUUUCUUAAAUAACUUGCCUCCACAUAAUAAUAAUAAUUUGUAUAUUGCAAAAAAGUAUACACAACAUUAAUGGCUUAAUAAGGGAUAAAUAUUUUUUAAAGUUACAAUAAUUUAUUUUUUAGAGUUGAUACCACGUCUUUGAACUUAAAGGUACAUAAUAAUAGGGGUGUUCAGAAUCCAAUCUGAUCCGCUCAAUCUGUCCGAUCCGCUCAAUCCGAUCCGUAUAAAUCCGAUGUGUGAUAUUUUGAAACUUAAAAUGUAUUAUUUUAGCUUUAUUUAAACAAUUAAUUUAUUUAAAUUUUAUUCAAUUUUAAAUUUAAUUGGUAGCAAAAUUAUUUUUAUAUUAGAUUUUUUUUAUUUCAUUAGUUGGAGAGAACUAAAAAAUUUUAAUUCGAAAACUAAUGCGCAAAAUGGUGGAUUAGAUAUGGAUUGAGUCAAAUCUGCAUCCGAUCCGCAGACGUAUGAAUUAGAUAUCGAUUGAGUCAAAUCCGCAUCCGAUCCACAGAUGUAUUGAUUGGAUUUUGAUUGAAUUUUAUCAAUCUGUGGAUUAGAUUAGAUUGAAAAUUAUAAUCCGCAAAAUCAUGGAUCGGAUAUGGAUUGAUGUCUAAUCCGUAAAAUCUGAUCCGCGAACACCCCUGCAUAAUAACUCAUUAAUAUGAACACCUUUUUGUUGAUGCCAAAGUAUUUCUAUCUUCUCAAGCAUGUUUAGAGAUUCAUUAAAUUGACAUGCUCCAUUAACUAAUCAUUAAUGUAUUUUCCUCUACAUUGCUCAGACUAAGGAUAAUCAAGUUAAAAAAAAAGAACUAAUUAUCUACAAAGUUUUAACUUCUUUAUAAUACAUAAUAAAAUUAGAUAGUUCUAACAAUAUGAUUAUAAAGAGAUCUUAUUGUAUAUUUUUUUUUCUCUCUCUUAAUUUUUUUUUUAAAGCAUUGACCCGUAGAAAUUUAAUUCAUAAUUAAAAGAUACUCUUUUCUUUUUCCUUUUUCUCUUAAACAAAAUUCAUUUCAUUUCAACGAAAUCAAAGAGUACACAAUUUACUUCUGCCGGAAAACCCACCAACCAAACUACAGUUUCAGUAUAUGUAAAAGCCAACUUCGCUAACAUAUAAGUUAUUAACUGUUUAGAGACUGAAAGAGCAUUGCACGUUUACACUUAUCCCCUCCCAAUUUUGAAUUUUAUAUCCGUUAUGAAUGUGACCUAAUCUAGACCAAAUGUGUUAAAUGGGCUUUUAUAAUUUGAAAUAGUACAUUCGAAUGAUGAAUUGACAACAUUAAAUAUUAGACAUUGUCAUUUUAUUUUAAAUAUUUAGAAAUUAUUCCUCGAUCACCUCGUAAAUUGUUUCUCUGUCACCUCGUAUUUAUAAAAAGUGUAAAUAUAAGCACGAAGAUUUUAUAAUAAUGUCUUUGCAGCACAUUACAUUACAUUUUGCUUUUAUAUGAAUGAGUUACUUUUUCAUUAAUCUCAUGUCAAUUAUUAUUAAUAUUAAUUUUAAAUUUUUAGUUAAAGUAAAGUUUCGAUAAUUAAAGGGUAGAAUAAUAAAAUACUAGUUUUCAUGUCCAUUUUUUGAUCAAGGAGUUCUACAAUAUAUUUGCAAAUCUUGGUGGUAUGAACGUAAUGAGAAAAAAAAUAUAGUUCGUGCAUGCUUCUUGUUAUUCUUAUUCAAUAACUACAGUUUAUGUACUUGAAAUUUUUCUUCUAAAAAAAAUGACAAGGACAAAAUCUUAUUCCAUAAAACUAUAUAUUUUUUGUCAUAAAUAGAACACUAUAUAGAACACUAUAUACAGCGGAUUCUUCGGAUUCUAGAUUUUUUGUUAUUAAAAUAUAAACUUUAUUGUAUUUCUUUAAAACGACCACAUGUUGUUUGUUAUAGAUAAUACUACAGCUCUAUCAAAUUUGUACAUCUUGUAGAAAGGUUUCAUUUUCCAAGUUGAAAAAUUUCAGAUGUACUCCCUGACAAUGAUAUUUGUAGCGAAAAAUACAACCAAAGUUGUUGAACGAGGAAGGAAAUGUGGACGAACAUCAGAUGUAGGAUCUGAAGAA